ACACAUAAUGGUGAAGAUGUGAAAAUGUGAUCUAAAAGUGACCAAAAUAAGGACACCACAUUUUAAUUUCAAAGCGGUGUCCACUUUACAUAUGUAUGUCCGGGUAUAGCUCUUCAGUUUUGUUUGAGACGUUUAAACAAAGGUUUAGCGAGUAGAAGAAUAUAUCAAACUUUCAUUAGCUGUUAUUGAUAAAGUAGUAUGAGGUUCAUAUCAAAAAUUAAUUGGUAAUGUAUGGAGUGGCCCAAACCCUUAUAAAUCCACAGACAAUGUCUCAUAUUCUCGAUGUGAGAUUGAUAUAUCAACACGCCCCCGCACGUGUGGCGAAUUGUUAAGCCUAACAUGUGGACAACAUUUGGGUGACGUGGAGUUCGUGUGGCCAUUGGGCUUCACAUGUGGACGUAGGUAACCCGCUCUGAUAUCAUGAUAAAGUAGUAUGAGGUUCACAUAAAAAACCAAUUGACAAUGGAUGGAGUGGCCCAAACCCUUAUAAAUCCACAAGCAAUGUCCCAUAUUCUCAAUAUAAGACUGAUAUCUCAAUAGCUAUACCACGACAAAUUAAGCUCUAAUCGUCACGAUAUCUACUUUGUUUCCCACGCAAUCCACAUUUCCGUUGACAUUGUUUUUAAGAAACGAUCAUGAAUGUAAUGCCGUCAGGCAGCGAUCGUUGUAGACAACUACUUAUUCUGAAGAUAAUGUCUACAACGAUCAAUUUAGACCAAUUUCAAUGAACUCUGAUCACUUUAGGCACAAAAGUCUUUAUCCUUUUUGCUUAUUGGGCCCUCAUGUCUGAUAUCUUCAAUCAAAGUGGGCUAAAUAAUGUGUGCGCGCUGAAAAAAUAAAAAGCUCACUCGGCCCAUUCAAACCAGGCGGGCAAGACCACUCCCUACUUUGACUACUGACUUGCUGACCUAACUAAUUUUACUGCCACCAGAAAAGUGUCGUUUUUGUCCGCACUAAACCACACCACCUACUUAUCUCUCCCGCCUCCAUUUCAACUUCCCCUCCCAAAACUUCUCCGGCCUCCCAAAAACCCCAAUCCGACCCGAUGGAGAAUUCGACCCUCGAAUCCCACCUCGGUCCCGAAAACUCCGUCACCUACGACUCCCCCUACCCUCUCUACGCCAUGGCAUUCUCCCCCGCCGCCCGCGCCCGCCACCACCACCCCAAAAUCGCCGUCGGCAGCUUCAUCGAGGAGUUCUCCAACCGGGUCGACAUUCUCUCCUUCGACCCGGACACCCUAACCCUAAAACCCAAUCCUUCUCUCUCCUUUGACCACCCCUACCCUCCCACCAAGCUCAUGUUCCACCCAAACCCCAACACCCUCCACAAGUCCCACGACAUCCUCGCCUCCUCCGGCGACUACCUCCGCCUCUGGGAGGUCAAAGAUUCCUCCGUUGACCGCCUCGAGCCAAUUUCGGUUCUCAACAACUCCAAAACCUCCGAGUUCUGCGCGCCGCUGACGUCAUUCGACUGGAACGAGAUCGAGCCGCGGCGGAUCGGGACCUCCAGCAUCGACACGACGUGCACGAUCUGGGACAUCGAGAAAGGCGUCGUCGAGACGCAGCUGAUCGCGCACGACAAGGAGGUCUACGACAUCGCGUGGGGCGAGGCUAGGGUUUUCGCGUCGGUCUCCGCCGACGGAUCGGUGAGAAUAUUUGAUCUGAGAGAUAAAGAACACUCGACGAUCAUAUACGAGAGUCCUCAGCCGGACACGCCGCUGCUCCGAUUGGCGUGGAACAAGCAGGACUUGAGGUACAUGGCGACGAUUUUGAUGGAUAGUAACAAGGUUGUGAUACUGGAUAUUCGGUCGCCGACGAUGCCGGUGGCGGAGCUGGAGAGGCACAGAGGGAGUGUGAAUGCGAUUGCGUGGGCGCCGCAGAGCGCCAGGCAUAUUUGCUCGGGUGGGGAUGACUCGCAGGCGCUGAUUUGGGAGCUGCCGACGGUGGCGGGGCCGAAUGGGAUUGAUCCUAUGUCGAUGUACUCGGCUGGCGCCGAGAUUAAUCAGCUGCAGUGGUCUGCUGGGCAGCCGGAUUGGAUUGCCAUUGCGUUUUCGAACAAGAUGCAGCUCUUGAAGGUUUGAGGAAUGUAAGUGGUUUGCGUAGAAUACUCUGUUCUCGCCAAUUGAUGAUAAUGUACUAAAACUGAACUGAUGUGUUUAACUGUUACUUGCUUGUUUGAAUAACGAAUGCAAAGCCUGAGCAGAGUAUAUGUGACCGUUUGCAUUUGUUUUUGAUCAUUUUCUUCUGGAUAGAGGUGGUAGGUAAAACAUGAAGUAUAGAUAUCUGUAUACCGGAUUUUUUUCUACUUCGGUUGUGAUUUUGUGGCCCGAUUCAUGACAUGGUUCCGUCUCAUCUUUUGUGGAUAUCAUAUGGUCGGUCAUCUAUUGUGGGAUAUGAUCUCCUUUUUCUUGAGUUUGAAUUGUUCUCUCGCUUCAGCUUGAUUCUCUACUUGAGUCUUUAACAUAGUCCUCAACUCUGUUUGCAAAUGUCCUGAAGUACCAAUGUCACCUGGUUUGCUAGAGUAAUAGUUACCUAAAACUAACAUAGCUUUAUGCAAUGCAGUACUGAAAACUAGCUACUGAAAUUUCAUCUGCAUAGGAGAUUGCUUUUAUGUUAUAAUGUCCUUGUAGUAGUUCUUGGAUUGAUAUCAGUUCUCUAUAAAAUGGUGAUGACAGUGAAAAGAACAUGGAUUAGAGGGAAUUAGAUUAAUGGUGAACAUAUGUAUUACUAACUAUGCAACGGUUAGACUUGGCAGUUGCCACGUUGGGUUCUCAUAACUAACUUCAACGGGCAGGGAUGCUUCUUCACUUCUAUAGUUUUCUAAUCUAAGUUAUCUAAAAAAGAAAUGAACUAUGGAUUUUUCUUUUUUGGAAUUGGAACUAUGGAUAUUUCUUUUGUGCUCUCAAAUUGGGUCAUAUCGCACUUGUUAACUGAAAAAGUUGUGGAUUCUCUUUUGAUGCAGGGGUACUGAUGUGUAGCUGGAAGUAGUUUGAUCUUCCGUUACUUGGUGAGGGAUGUUUGAACUUUUGUAACUCUAAUUGUUGUAAAUACAGUAUCUCUCCUUCCUUUCCUACCUUUUAUCUUUUCUAUAGAUCCAAUGGUGUUUGUAAUCGUAACUGUUAGUGGGAGUCUCCCUCAAUCACACGCUCUGUGUUCCCGUGUCCGAGUAAAGAAACACCAACUUCUCAGAAGAUUUGGUUGGUUCUUUAGAGUGUAGAGAAUGAAGGGGGAUUAGAAGUUUUGUGUAGUUGUGGAUGACACUGCUUUUUGGUGUUUUUUCUUAAUGAAUGACACUGCAUUUGUCAUAAUUCUUAGUGCAAUAUGAAAUGAUUGUCAUUCAAAUGUUUGGACUUCAAUUCCCAACACCCAUCCAAUUUUGGUUCAUGCAAAUAUUCAAAGCACGCAUUCUUGUAUCGGUUAUGCACUCAUCCUAUUGUAAAUAACACUGUAACUGACCGGAGCAACAACAAACAAAACUCUAAUCAUCAACAUCUUCUUUUCAAGUGAACUGAUAGUACUGAGAAUUUCUUUUCUUCCCUUCUACCUAAUAAGGUUGAAAUCUUGUUGAUAUUUGUUCGAGGAAAGUCCAGGUGAGGCCAUUUAUUUAUAUAAAAAAAAAAGAGAAAAAUCUGUGUCUUACUGUUGCAUAUAUAAUUGACCUGAUGCUGAUACCAUCGAUGGAGAAUGAGUUCAGAUGGAUGAGCUGCAGAAAUACAUGAAAAUCAUGGAUAUGCAUAAAUUGAGAGCUGACUCACAAUGAACGUCCAAACCGAUUUUCGACUUUCUAGACCGACCUCACUAAAUUCUCGUUUCGGCCGGGACCGUACAGAUUUAUAUAUCAUCAUAAAAGGUGAGAGACGACUACUAGUUAUGAACCUUCUAUUAUGCAUGUUUUCUAUAUAUAGAACUAGCCACCAAGCUUAACGUACACAUAUUCGAAUUCUGAUCGAUCUCCUUGCCUUCUUUCUCUCUGUAACAUUCGUCUGAAAUCUUAGGUACACCCUUCAUCCUUUCACUGCCUUCUUUUAUGGUUAAAGUCCUCAUCACGUCGAUCGUAUCUAGUUUCCGAGCUUGCAACUUCAGUCUUCAGGCAACUGAUAUCAAGGCUCUAGCUAGCUAGCUGUUAAUUUCUUGGAUCAGGGAUACCGGUGGUUCUUUCUGUAGUUGUGAUACAAUAUAUCCAGCGAAUAAUAAGUAAAGCAUGCUCAAGAUGAAGUUGGGGUCGUUACUAUGGGAUCUUGUCAAACUUUUACUGAAGAUGAGUUUGUACUAUCCAGUACAUAGCGGAGAUGGUGAACAAGAUAAGGAGGAUAGUGAUCGUCAGCCGGAAUAUGAAGCUGCAGCAACUACUUCAGAUCUUACUCGGUACGACUUGCAAGUACCAGUAGUAGUUCCGGUGGUGAUUGACACAGAAUCGAUCAAGAAGCAACUGCCGGUUGUGCAAUACCGGGACCUAAUGCUGAGGAAAACGAGCCGCCAGCGCCAAUUGCAAGCUAUAUCUUCGUCUUCGUAUCCGGAGGAAGAAAUAUUGCACGUUUCAUCAUGUAUUGUGUGCAUGAAUGUCAUAGAGGGCAGUGACGAGGUGAGGGAGCUGUGCAAUUGUGAGCAUGUUUUCCACACAGACUGCCUGGAUGCUUGGAUCGGUCAGGCUCAGUUAACUUGUCCUCUGUGUAGAUCCGAGCUACUAAUACCAGCUACUACUUGUGGUACUAUCUCAAAGCAUGAUAAAGAUGGAGGAGGAGAUCCAUGGAGGGUCGAGAGGAUGAUUUACUUGUUUGGUCAAGAUAUUUGUUUCAAGAACUAGAAUGUAUUAUAAUUCUUGUAUAUACUGAGGGAAACACACAUCAAAGCUCAAUAUAUGAUUCAAACAUAUUUUCACGAUUCAGGCAUAAUCGAUCAUACUCAAAGUUUCUAAUACUAUCUGGUUUUUUCUAUCUGUGAUCGAAUUUUUACUCUAAUAACAAAUGCACAUAUCAUGUAUUGUAUGCUAGCUUAUGUAUGCUUAUUAACUCUUAAAACUUGCUCCAUUUCCAUAACUACAUAUAAACACAUAGUAGUUAGUAACUGGAGCUCGUUUGUUCUUCACAAGCACAAAGAUGAAGUCGCCAUCAAACCAAAUUCCAAAACUGUGUUUACUAAUUUGUAAUUACAUUAUUAUUAGGGGCCCUAUUAUAUUAAUUUAUUAUUGCCAUAUUCGGCAAGCGAUUGCUGCAGAAAUCUAAACAAUGGGAGCAGCUUUACUUACUGACGUCUCGAAACUAAUUCACUGUUCAACAUAAACGUCGAUACCGUGCAUGUUGUGCAUUUGCAGUUACUUGCAGCAGUGUAGCUGGAAGUAGUUUGAACUUCAGUUAGUUACUUGGUGAGGGAUGUUUGAACUUUUGUAAUUCUAAUUGUUGUAAAUACUGUAUCUCAAUUAUAUUGAGAGAAAUUAAAAACCAAGUUCUCAGAAGAAUUGGUUGGUUCUUUAGGGUGUAGAAAAUGAAGGGGGAGAUUAGAAGUUUUGUAUGGCUGUGGAUGACACUGCUAGCUUGUUAGUGUUUUUGGUUAAUGAAUGACACUGCAUUUGUUAUAAUUCAUAGUGCAAUAUGUCAUGAUUUUAAUAUGUUUGGACAUGGAUUAAUCCCAACUCAAUUAUAAUCUUGUUGACUUGAUGAGGUUUCUGGUUCAUGCAAAUUGAAAGCAUGAAGUUGACAAAGAAAAAAGAAAACCACAAGUCUCACAGUUGCGUACUCGCAUAUAUAAUUGACUUCAUGCUGCUCAUAUCUUCGAUGGAAAAAGACUGAGCCGGUGUGGUUCAGCCUGGCUGGCCAUUUACUUGAACAUCAAAAUCAGGGAUGCAUAAAUAGAGUUGAUUCACAAUUACCAUCCAAACCGAUCUGCCACUUUACAGACCGACCUCACCAAAUCUUAACUUCCUUUGGUCCAGGACGUACAGUAUUUUCAAUUAAUAUUUGUGUAAAUAUCGUAGGUCAGACUUCUAUGGUUUGUUUCUAAGAAUAGAACUAGCCAAAUAUCGUAACGUACACAUGCACAUUCAAGUUGGAUGAUCAUUUGUCCGAUAUAUAUAUAUAGUUCAAUUCUGAUCUCCUCCAUCCCCAUCUCUCACAGUAAUAUAUGUCUGAAAUCUUAGGUACUACACUUCAUCCUUUCACUGCCUUCUUUUAUAUAUAGUUCAAGUCCUCAAGUAGUAUAGUUUCAAAGCUAGCUAGCAUGCAAAUUCAAGCAACUGAUAUCAACGCUCUAGCUGUUAGCUGGUAAUUUCUCGGAUCAGCAGUAUGGUGGUGGUGGUUCUUUCUGUAGUGUUACUAUGUAAGCUUCUCAAAUUUCUACUCAAGAAGAUCAUCUACUAUCCAGAAUUAUUCUUUAUACAUAGUGUUGAUGAUCAACAAAAUAAGGACGAUAGUGAUCACCAGCAGCUGGAGGUCAUGAACUUUGAAGCUGCAGCAACUUCACAUUCUAGUUGGUUGCGCUUUCAAGUACCAGUAGUAGUUCCGGUGGUGGUUGAUGCAGAAUCGAUUGAGAAGCAACUACCGGUUGUGAAGUAUUGGGACCUCAAUCUGAAGAAAAGAAGCCGGCAACACCAUUUGCAAGCUAUAUCUUCGUCUUCGUAUCCGGAGGAAGAAAUAUUGCACGUUUCAUCAUGUAUUGUGUGCAUGAAUGUCAUAGAGGGCAGGGACGAUGUGAGGGAGCUGUGCAAUUGCGAGCAUGUUUUCCACAAAGACUGCCUGGAUGCUUGGAUCGGCCAGGCUCACUUAACUUGUCCUCUGUGUAGAUCUGACCUAUUACUACCAGCUACUACUUCGAAGAAUGAUAAAGAUGGCGGUAGAGAUCCAUGGAGGGCAGAGAGGAUGAAUUACUUGUUUGGUGAAGAUGUUUGCUUCANNNNNNNNNNNNNNNNNNNNGUCCUAUUCCAGCUUAUUUCAACAUGUAAACAUAAUCUAUGAAACUCAAAGUUCGUAAUAUCUAUCUGGUUUCAUCCCUAGCUUUAACAUGCUUGUUUGGCAGCUGGUAGUAACUUGUAGUUCCUAAGUAGUUAAUGCAUGGUUAAUUUGUUUGCCAAAUAUUAUUUGAGAAAUCAGGAAGAACCACAGCUAUAGUCUAUAGAUCGAGAGAGCUACAGAUCGAUUACUUGGUACGUACGUACAAUUGGUUGUAGAGUGGACUAUGUUUUUUUUGUUUUUUUGUUUUAAAUAUGCAGUGGACUCUGUUAAUAAUAGAUCGAGCAGCGGUCAAGUUUAGUGAGUACUACAGGGUUUAGGGUUUAUUCAAAAAUUAGAGAGAAAUUAUUAGAUCUCUGGAUGGCGUGAAAGCUAGCUUUCCUUCGAUCUUGAAAGCUGCGGUAGCUAACAUCGCCGUACUGGUCUGGAAGCGUUGGCUACGUUAUACUCGCGCGGUCCAGUUUCGUUCAGUAUGAUGGGGUCAACUGAUCGGUCGAGAAACUUGCGUACAAUAUCGAUCCAAAUUGGCCAGAUUUACUAUUUUGUCAUCGUCGCAUUCACUUCAUGAAGAAGAUAAUCAUCAUAUACUCGAUCUUCAAACAUCAAAUUAUUGGCGAUAGUGAUACUAAUCAAUGAUCGAUCAUCAUCACCAUCGGGUCAAUUAAGAUGAGUUGCGCAGAAGAAUUAACACCUCCAAAUUGUUGAUUCAAGUUGCAGCUACUGGCGGUGCACUCCUUGCAACUCCCCGCACGGUGGUGCAAUGCCGCAACAUACGUGAUGAUGCCGGACCCUUUGGAUCUCGAAAUGAUCAGGACACCCAUUUGAAACGAGCUGCUAGCUAAGGCAGACAAGUUUUGGUUAUACAUAUGAACUAUUUAAAUUUCAUGUUUUGGUUCACAAUUAUAUGUUGAUUAAACUUUUAAAUUUUAUCAUUGAUCCGGCCAAAUUAAAACUUUUUAUUCAAUCUGCGCAAAACACAAUUCACAAGCACCUAUGCCAAACACAAAAAUACCAAAUGUUCAAAUUUCGAUACACGAGUAAAACACACAAGUCUCGAUCAGAUGCAACGACGUAAAACCGAUUAAAUGAAUGUAGCCUUGUAUCGAUAAACUUGUGACAUUUGUUUAACAUACGUGGUGAUUAUGCUUACUAGAUAAAAUACAAACCAAAAUCUUGACUAGAACAAAAGCUAUCUAUUUUCUAUUUUUCUUCUCUAAUUUUCUCGGUAAAUCUCUAUUAAUGAAGCCAAAUCAAAUUUUGACCCAACCUCCAAAACCCAUUUGAGAUUUUGAACUAAUAAUAUGUGAUCCACGGUCCACCAACAAAAACAAAACCCGCCUCAUUUCCCAACCUCUUAAUUAUUUUCUUCAACUCUCUCUCUCUCGUAAAUCAGAUUCCUAUGGCCACCACUACCACCGCCACCACCAACAAUCGUUGACAUGCCACCGCCACAACAACCACCACCAAUCAGAAACAGCCACGUCAACCUCCCCGAUCUCCUCCUCACCGCCCUCUCCGUCUUCUACCUCUUCUCCUCCUCCUCCUCCAAAAUUAAACCCCCACUCCCCAAUUUCCCAUCCUACCCUCGCCGAUUCAUCAAAAUUCCCACAAUGUCCCUCCACCACCACAACCACCACCGCAGCUUCGCCACGCCGCAGUCGCUCUCCGACUGGCUCAAGCCGCGCCUCCGCUCCGACUCGCUCGCCUCCUGGGGCGUCAAACCAGGGACCAAGAACGUCCACAACCUCUGGCUCGAGCUCUCCGAAGGCGAAAGCUCCCUAGCCGACUCCACCCCGCCGGUUCGGACCGUCCACGUCGUCACGGUUCGGGUCAUCGACGAUCGGAACCGGGUCCUGGUCGAAUCGGAGCAAGAACUCUCCGACGGCAGCGUCAGGACACGUGGCAGGCCUCUAUCGGAGAAGAUGAAGCCCGGGGAGGAUCCGAUAACGGCGGCGAACCGGGCCGUGUUGGAGGAGCUCGGGUCGGUACUGAACGGGUCGGGUCAAGUGAAGAUUGUGCCCGGUUCGUAUAGCAAGAAGGUGGAGGAGAGAAGCUCGGCGAGUUAUCCGGGGCUGCCGGCGUGUUACGAGGUGCAUUCGGUGGAUGCGACGGUGGAGGGGUUGCCGGAGGAGGAUUUCGUGACGGAGGAGGAGCAUGAGUAUGCGGAUUCCGGCGAGAGGCGUGUUGCGAAUGAGGCUGUGUCUGUGAAGAAGCAUUUCUGGAAAUGGGUUAGUCCUGAUUCGAUAAACUCUUGAGCUCAAUUCAUAGAAAUGUGUUUUGUUUAUAUAGAGAUCUCAUUCGAAAUGUAAUGUAGUAGUAGAGUUGUUUCGAGUUUGAUUGAUACCGUUUUGAUAGUUAAGAGUUGUUUCUUGAUUCAAUUCGUAUAGAAUGUACCACGUACUUUUGCUUUUUGAUCAUAAUGAAUAGAGUUUUUUGAACUUGCUCUAUGUUUCGAGACUUCAUGAUUGUGAUUGUGGUGAUGUUUGUUGCGUCGAGAAGUUGUAAAAGUUGAAUGCUCUAUGCAAGUAUGUUAGUAGUUGAUAAUCUGUAGAACUAGAUUACAUGUGUAGCUGUGUGUAAGUGAGUCUGAAGAGAUUAAUGUUAAAAUGAAUGGUGUUGGUGAACUUAGCUAUUGUUUUGUCUCUUGAAUCGGUGGGUGGGUUGAAAUUUAUGGAGAGGCACAUAUUCAGUUAGAGAUAAAGAGGAAUCCUUAGGAGUGCUGUUGCAAUUGCGGGUUACAGAUUCACUUCCUUAAAUGAAAUGGGAAAUGGGGAAAGAUAUGACUCCUUUUCAGGCUUUGAGUUCUUUAGUUCAGUUUAUGAUAUGCAGUUGUUGGUAGCAAAAGAUACAAUUCAGCUAUCAUGAUGAGUGAUCACUUGUAUAUGCCAUAGCCAUUUGGAUUUUUUUUGUUUGAGUGUUAUGAACUCCUUGAAGCUCCUAGUUUUAGUGUCUGGUUACAUUACAUCUUUAAUGUCAUGUGCUGUUGCCUGUUGGAAGCUUUACCAUUGCCCUUGAUUGGUAUGCUACGUGAGAUUGGCCACCUCUUUCUCUAACCUGUCUGUCAGCUAACAACUGCUGUAGAUGUUUUAUUUUCAAAAUUGUUAGUGUUUGAUCUUAGAUAUUGUAGGGUUUACCUGUAAAAUUCAUGUUCCUAAAGUCAGUUACCAAUUUCUUGAUGAACUAAUGUCCGUCCAAGAAAAGGUGCUAGGUCUACUCCAUAUAUCUUGACACGCAAUUACAAAAGCAGCAUUUUCCUGAAGUUUGUAUGGUUCUUUCAGCUAUUCAGCUAGCCAUUUUGUGGGGACAUCUCACUAGCUAUCUUUUGGAUCAUCAGAAAGUAGUUUUACUUUUUAACAUUUGUGUUGCGGGUCAUAUAUUUUCCUCGAAACUUAUUUUCUUCUUUUGCUUUACAAUAGGUAGGGAAAGUAUUUUUUGUCACCUUCAUAAACGUUGAAGUUCUGGACCGUAUUAGUUGUUGCAAAAAUGUUAGGGGCAGUUGUUAACUAAUUAUUCUGUAAUAGCUAAUUGGUCCAUUUAGUCGCUAUCACCUUCCAUUUUUGUGAAGAGCUUUGUAUUUUUUGAGUUUUUAAGGUUAGCCUAAAGUUAAUCAAACUGUAGACAUACACAAUUCUUUACCAUUACCAGACUUUUGUAUUUCCUGAUUAUUCUCUUAUAAAAUCCGUCAGUUUUUUAAGCAGCAGCUCUCAGAACAGUGUUCUGGGUUUACUGAGACAAUCGUAUCUAUCAGCUUCCCGGAAUCGGUAACAUUCCUCAGUAUAUUCAAGUUCUGGGUUGGUGUGAUACAGUAUAUAUAUUUAUAUAUGGUGUACAUAUAAGAAUGAUUCGAUUUGGAUUCGCAUCUUUCUUUGCUUGGCAGUUGGCGCUAAAAGGCAAGAGUCCAUGUACUAAUAAGUCAGUAAAGGUAGAGUGUGGGAUUGAACUGUAAAUUUGAAGAUUCCUUAGUGAAGAAAAUAAUGGAUUUCCCUCCUUUUUCUUUUCCAUCUCUUUUUUUUUUCUGGUUGGCAUCUCACCUAUCAUUACCUCUUUUAUGUCUUUAUCCGUCAAUAUCUAUCUCUUUCACUUUCUCCUCCUGCCCACAAAACAACAACAACAACCAUACUGGGAAAAGGGGAUGAACACACACAAUCCUCAUCUUUCAAUCUUCAUCCUUGUCUUCUCAAAAGAUUAGAACACAUUACUGGAAAUCUACAAGAACAUGAACAACACCAAUCUUUUCCUCACCCACUUUCUAUUGCUAGAACUUAAGAAGAUAAGAUUUCACAAUACAAGUUGCAAACACCCUUUUCAUUUUCACUUAUGUACAUGAUCAUUACCCUAAGUCCUAUAAUUUUCAAUCAGCAUAACAUACCUCAACACCAAGCAAUCAAAUUCAGACUAGCUAGUACAAGCAAAAUGAACAACUCAAUCUAGGCAGUAAAGUAAGCUAGUCAUCACCGUGGUUCAUGUUAGUAGUGGCAGUUCAGACAGUGGUAGAACACUGAGUCCCCUGCCUAGUAGUGAGUGGCCCUGAUGGGAGAGAAGGACCGAAAGCCAUAACAGCAACGCAAUCCACGUUCACUCUGUAUCUCCCGGACACCCAAGUCCCUACCUUCCACCUUAGUCGUCCGAGCACUUUGAGAUUCAAUACAAGUCUCCCAGCCGUCUGAUCACGUCCCACUUCAUAACCGAAAGAGGGAGCCACAGGCAGACCAUUUCCAAUCAAAGAAACUGUGAGGAGAUUGCUGUCUUCAUGUCCUUGGUAGAAAGGAGGCAGAGAUGUGUAAACUGUGAUCUGUUGGCCUUUGUAUUGAGCAUAUACUUUGAGCUCGUCGUAGUAAAUGCCAACUUUUUGAUUGGGGUUCUUGGAAAGCAGGGUGAGUUGGACGGAGGAGUUGAGGAGGUUAUUGCUUCCGGAGAGGUUGAGGAGGUAGAUACCAGCUUCUUUGAGAGAGAACUGAGGCUUGGUGGGGUGUAGAAUAAGCCAGACAAGUAGUAUUAAACAGAGGAUUGUAGUGAAUAGUGUAGAGAAUGCUGCAAAUAGCUUCUUGCAGUGCUUGUUAAUUUUCAGUCCUUGCUUAUCGCCACAGUGUUUAGGAGAUUUCGAGAGGGCUUGAGACAUUUGCUAAAAUGAAGAGAGAUUGGAGAACUCAAAAGUCAGAGAGAGAUGAGGUUUAGAGGGCUAAGUUAUAAGGGGAGGGGAGGUGAGGAGGUUAUAUAUAUAUACAAAGGAAGCAGAAGCUGAAAGCUGCAAUAAUAUUGGCUCCCUACUUCUUUUGACUCGCAGCUUCUUUUUUAUCUUUGCUUGUGCUGUGUGAACUUCUGGAAAUUGCCUUGAUUAAACUUAUUAGGUACAUGAUGCACAUAUAUCAACCAUUGGAUCAUUAUACAACCUGAUAAUGUUUCCCUCGUUCCAUGAUUCAUCUUGGGGUAGGACGAGCUUAGCCUUUUCCUAAAAGGAAAUUGAAUUGUUAUUGUAGUUCACUAACUUGCAAUAACAAAAGUCGCAUUGCAUUUGCAUGCAUGAUUGAAUAAUUUGGAGUUAGCAAGACAUGAAAACAAAUUAGAAAACUGCUCUUAAAUUAUUUACUUUUCGCAACUUAUAUUUACUUUACAAAUUUACUGAUGUAAUGAUAGCCAUACUGCUCUUUUUGGGGCAUGAGAACAAAGAUAUAUAUCACAUAUAUGGAUAUAAAGUCUGUAUGCCAGAAAAAUACAAACCCUUUACACGUUUCUGUAUUUUUCUGUUUGUUGGAUUCUUGAGAAUAAUUCUCAGAAAUCCAUUUCUCUUAUUUUUGUAUAUACGACAGUAAAUAAAUGUAGUAUAUCCUUGAAUCUGUAUAUGUGGUAUUAAGUCGAACAAUGUUAAGAGUUUAAGACGAAGAAAGUAUCUGUAUCCUGCAUAAUGAUUCAUGAAUAUACAGAAUCGAUGCAAAAGAUCUAAUAGGCUUUUGUUUGUGGACGAUUCUAACAUAGUUUUUAAUCCACCAUGUCAAAAGCAUUGGACAUGCACCUCAGCCUGAAUCAGAGAUUGGAUACACUUUUGGGAUAAUAGAGGAAAGUGAAGGCUUUUAAAAGAGCAAUAAGAGAUGGUGUACCAAAUAGCUUAGCCUUUUCUUGUUGAUUGAAGGUAAGAAAUGGUGCUAAUUAGCCUAGUGGCAGCCCCCAUAAUAUCUUCCUUUUUCUGCUCUUGUUCUAGUACAUGCAAUUAGAAAAGUGGGAUUAGGGAUAAAAAUACGAUUAAUUAGCGGUGUGUUUCUUGCUUAGUAAGACGCUGCUGAGAUUGGGAACUUUGAAGUUCUGGUCUUCUUUUAUGUUUUCAAAUUGAGCAGUGCAGUAGAAGAGUUCAAAAGUAGAGAAGACAUGGAGAAUCUAUAAAACAGUCUUUUGGAAACCACUGGCAAACAUUACCAAUCAUUCAUUUCUUGGUUUUAUUAUGCAUGCAGGUGCUCUUCCUUUUACGUUAAGAAAAGGGCUUUGAGAGUACUGCUUAAGACUGGUAGUUGAUGAAUCUUCAUCUACCGUCUGAUGUGAAUACUCGGAAAAGCGCUACAUCGGUCAUCACCAUUCGAUGUGAAUACCUAUGUUUUGUUAUGUAAUUUGGUAUGGUUGUUAUUAGGGACCCUCAGGCUCGAAUUUUGAAGGGAAUAUCAUACAUGACUUACAGCCUUACAGCAGUUGUUCAAGCUUUGAAAUUGAAGAGAGGUGUUUGAUUUUUGCUUUCUUGAAACUUUCCUAGAUAUUGAACCCUUUUCUUAAAUCAAAAAUACACAAGAGAAAGGACCCCAAAACCACCGUAAUGAUUUCUCGCCUGUUACUUUUCUCUAAACUUUGCUUGCUUAUUUCUUCUUCUAUUUCUGGGACCAAAAAAGAGGCAACCUUUAUGACUUUGAUUAUAAGUGGAAAGAAGGAAAAGGGUUUUCAGUGUUUCAUUUCAUUGAUUGUUUCAGAGAUAAGCAUGCACAGAUGUCCCAAAUGGUCACCUUCAACAUCGACUAGGAACUAUGAUAGGUACUGAGGUGCAUCUCUUCACCUAUUCCGAAUUGGUUGACAAAUAAAUUUAUCAAAAUCUAUAUAAAAUUUUAAGCUGGAUACCUAGUUUUCUACGAUUAUACGAAGUAUAUGAUUGCCUUAAUGAAGUACUUCUUCUUCAACCUUACAACUCCUGCACAAUUUAAGCACGGCAUUACCUGCUCUGCAAGGUUCAUAGGCAAAGCCAUUUUGUGGUGGAAGAAAAGGUGGAACCGUGCCUUGAGUAGUUGCUGUAAACAAACACUAGUUCGAAUUGGCGGGGAAGCCUUUAUGGGAAAUUACCUACCACAAUUAGUGGAGAAAAGCCAUUAUCAUUUUGAUGACUUUGACAUGUGUUUGCUUGGACAAUAGUGCAGCAACACAGGUCGUAGCCAUGUAAGACGUAUCUGUUGCUACUUGCUUGCUUGCUAAUAGAAAACGAUGUUCUUCCACUGCAGAAGUCGUUUUCUGGUCACCACAAUCUCCAGUGUAAUUCUAUUUCUUCUGUAAUUUCUCUUACUUUGGAAAAUCAUAAGAAAAUAUUGAGUUGACAGUUUUGAGUUCCCUCAGUUCAUGUUAUGUUGAAAACCUGUGUUUUGACAGUGAAAAAAGAAAAACGUGUGCCGAUUUUCAUCAAAAAUGUCAUUUUUGAACAUUUUCGAGAUUGUUUGCCUAGAUGCAGAGAUAGAUUUUAUGAUCUCAAAAAUUCAUUCUCAUAAUGUUUUAUGCAAUGAAAGAGAACAUUAGCUUAGAUAAAGGUCACUGGGACUCUGGGAGACAUGUACGAUUGAACAGACCUAGUGUUUUUUACUUUCCUGGGCUCAAAAUAGAAACUCUUGAAGUGUUCUUACCGACAGUCUCUAUAUUUUGUUGCACUCUCUCACCCCAAUCUGAAUUCAUCACUUCUUGUUUGGAAGUACUGAAGUUUUAUUUUGGUUGAUUGGAUAAUUGUUGAACUAUGUAAUCUACCACUCCAAUCUGACUGUCACUGAGUAUAUACUUGGAAUCAUUGAUAUUCCUUUGAAAUGAAAACAAUUUCUCCUUGCAUCUCAAAAAUUACAAAUCCUCGAGUAGUUAGUAACAAGAAGAUAAUCAAAUGAGUACAAAUGUAGUUUGUAUACCAGCUGACAUGUAAGUCAGAGUGAACAAACCUAUGUAUAAAUAGGGAAAGAAUGACCAAGGCAGCCCUAAGAAGAUUUUAAUAUAGGGUACAAAAAAAAUCUACAGCCCUAUAUUACAAGGGAUAUACAUGAUCUAACUUAAGCUCUAGGCAUCAAGAAAUGAACACGGUGUUACUUCAACUCUACAAGAACCCUCUACUUAAUCAUCAUAUGCAUUGCCAUCAGCUUCUGUAGGUGAAGGAUCAGUAACUUGACGAACAAAUUGUCCUUUUAUUCUUGGACGCUGCUCUGCAAGCUUCUUUCUGCUCUCGUAACGAACCUGUGUAAGAAGAAUAUAUCUCGUUAGAACUAUAGCCUAUUUUGCAACAAUGGUGGUAAAAAUGAAGCUACAACAGUAAGUAGAAUAAAGAUAAGAAUGUACCUUCUUCUCAUAACAUCUAUCUUUCCUCUUCAACCUGAAUUUGUUUAGAGCUGCUUCUCUUUGGAUUGAUCGAUUAUUUCCACUUUGAUUGAAGAAACUGUCUUCAUUCUUGCUCUCUGGAGCAGCUCUAAAUAUAGCCGCCUGAUCAACGUUGUUACUUCCACAAGCACUUCCAUACCCUAUGCUAUUAUUCCUAUUAAGAUGACUUGCAUUGCCAUUGCAGAAACUACUAGUUGCACUCUGAUCAUUUUUUGAAGAUAUAAGCCCCUCAUCGUAUCUUUGUUCCUGCUGCUGCAUUGUCUGGUUGUGGUCCAUGGCAACCUUGGAAUGAUAAGCUGGGUCAUACACAUGCUCUGGUUUAUGGUUUUGAGGAUUAGUCGGAUAAUAUGAACUCAUAAGAAAUGAGGGUUCCUGCUGGGCAGCUGUACUUCUCAUUGGUGAUGGACUUGAUUGUGUGCAAAACGUUGGAGGCAGUACAGUACCAUACCCGUUGCAUAGAUUGUUAAACCUUACACCUUUAACGGGAACAGGAAGAGGAAAUAAUUUCUGCUGAGGGCAUGACGUUCCAAUUUCAGAUUGGUUAGACUGCCCAGUAGCUGGCGUGAUGACACUCCUCGGAAUACUUGAAGUGGCAGCAGGAGUAUCACAAUCCAUAUAUACAGGGGAUGCAGGCUUCUCUGAUGUAGUUUCAUAUGCAUUUUGUCGCUCGUUUAUUUCAGUCAAUGGAUUCUGGGGCUGCAAUGGUCUGUUGAUGUAUCUGCAGGAGGGAUAAUUAUGAGUCCAGUGAACAGAAAUGUUUAAAUAAUCUAGCAAAGAAAUCAAUUAUUAAAACCAACUUCAUUGCGACUCUGUAUAUAAAAUUAUAAACCAACGAUUGACGAUGUGCAUGUAUCCCCAAAUUUCAUUGCAGAAAACAAAAAUGGAAACUCACCUUGAAAAGGCUGAGGCGUUAGAGCGGCCCAGGGUAUGUCUUUUCUCAGUAACUUGAGUCUCAAAGCCAUUAGAAUCUGAUCUUCUCAAAGAAAGGUCCAACUGCGGAGCAGAAUCAUAUGUACAAGGUCUAUUACUUGAUGAAGAAUUUCUCUGGUUGCUAAUUGGAUAACAGCUGGAUACUCCAAAGAAGUCUGUGACAUUUCUUGAAGAAUUGACAAGGAGAUCAUUAUCAUCACAAGCUUCACUGCCCAUAUUAGCAUCUCUCCUAUGACUUUCUGGCAUGGCGACCUCACCUAGUGGAGCUGCUAAUUUGUCCUUGUACACAUUCACUGCUGGUCCUAAUUAGAUUCACAGAUUGACAAAUGUUAACAGGCCUUCCUACCAAACUGAACAUAUAAGAAGCUGCUAAAAUGGAACGUAAAGAUAUAUCACCUCUGGCUUCAUUUUCAUGCAUAAGCAACUUUUCGCCACAAUUGGUGUUCCCUUCAUCUUUCUGCACUCUUAAGUCAUCCAGAAAAUUUUUAGCCUGUAUCUUCUGUGAAAAUUCCUGCAUAUCCAUACUCUCAGCCUCAAAAUCUGGCUUUGUACAAGAGCUCUGCAAGAGAGAUAAAACAUUCAGUCAGUCCACACUGAGCAAUGCCAAUUAAGGGUUCUUUUCUGCUUCAUUUUCAUAAUAUAAUGGAACUUUCAAAAUAUUAGAACACGAACCUGAGAAUCAGUCCCUUUUUCAUCGGUUUCCUUAUUCCUCUGAGCACAUGCCACAUAACCACUAGAAUGAGCAUCAUUAUCAGAUGUUCCUUCAAUCUUUUGUUGUCCGACACUCUCGUCUUGGGGGUUAUUUCUGGCCAACUGAUGGACAACAGAUUUCAAUUAGGCAUAGGCAGACAUGUUAACAUAAGAAUUUGAAACUGAAGUCGGAUAAAAAAAAAGUUCAAAGAAAUGAGUAGAGGCAUACAGAUUGUCUCCUCCAAACAUGCUGCCACAGGUUUCUCAGUUCAUUCUUUCUAAUUGGCUUAACAAGAUAGUCAGAAACACCUCUUGUCAUGCAUUUGUAAACUGUGUUAAUCGAAUCCUGAGAGGACAUCACUGCAACAUCACAAAAUAAGUUCAUAAGUACUUUUGAAAACCACCAUGACGAAAUUCAAAUAUCAUAUAUCAUGUCACAAUCAUUUGUUCUUCAUAUCAUACUUAUAACAGGAAUGUUUUUGCAGAUCUCAUGCUCCAUGAUUAGCGUAAGCAAAGCAAAUCCAGAUAUUGAUGGCAGAUCUACUUCCAUCAGUAUGAGGUCUAUCUUAUGGCACCUUGCCUUCAGUAUUUCCCAUGCUUUUAAGCCAUCAGGUACAGCAGCAACUGCUCAAACAAAAACAAGUACCAAGUUAAGUUCCACAGUUACAUCUAACCGAAAACAUUGAUAUGUCCACUCAUGUAGAUUUCACCACAUAACUGGGGUGACCCUUAGACUUGCAAUUUUACAGAUCUGCAAAUGUUCACAACUUUUUAAAAGGACCCUGAAAGGAGGUGAAUGGAGCUAAGAGUUCUCUUGAUAUCCUAUGUUUGCACUAUACAAUACAAAACUCUAUCAAAAUGAGUGACCUGAACCACAAAAACCUUUGUCCCUAGAACUCGAAAGAGGUUGUGUAGAAAGUAUUAAAGCACCUUAAUCUUGGCUAAUUAUACUCAGAGUACAGCUAGCUAGUUGUAAAUACUCUCUAAUCAGGUUAAUUCUUUGAAUUUAAACAUUGGUUAGAGCUGAUCUCAGCUUAUAUUGAAAGAAUCCAAUCUCUUACUGUUACUAGAACUAGACCCCUUCCUAUAAAUGGUUGACUUUGAUUAUAUUAACCAUCAUCUUAGCAGCUUUUCGUAUGAAUAGUAAUUAACACAAUUCAUAAGUAGAACAAUAUUUAGCUGAUCUUACAGAGAUUAGAUCAAUUUCUGUUCUUGGCCUACAGUUCUUAUCAUUAAGAUAAACCAACACAAAACCACAGACCACUUCAACUUCACUUCAUGUGAAUUCAACAAUAACAUCCUUCAAUUCUUGAUCAGCACAGUUUGCCACAGAAUUAGAAAACCAAGAUCUUAACCCUUUUCUCCUCUCCAACCCCAAAAAAAGGCAAGAAAGAAAAAAGAGAGUAAAGAAAUACAGGAUCUAACUCAUUGAAAUUCCUACAAACCCAACUUCAACAUCAAAAAAACACAAAACCCAGUUUGAUUAUUCCACCAAAAGAUCAAAACUUUAAAGCAUUCAACCAAAACCCAACUCACCUCUGUAGCUACAUUUCCUGAGCAAAGCAGCUAUAAUAUGCCUUGUAGAGUCAUCAGCCUCAACCAACAACACCCUCAUGUUCAUUCCAGGAAGAAGCUUCUCCCACCUCAUCACAACCCCACUUGAUGACUCACCACCAUUGUUCUUCAUCUCUGUACUCCUCUGCUUCUCACUCUCUGUACUACUCACCACAACCUCACCCAUUUUCACAGCUCCAACUUUUCACCACAAACUCAAAGAAAAACAGAGCUUUGUGUUUCAGAAAAAUCUCAUCCUUUUGCUUCAUAAAAAGCAAGUCCUUCACUUUUUGUCAAAGCUGAGCAGGAAAAAAUAUCCUGAAAAAUCUUUAGCUGCGAAUCCGACGGCGAAGAAAUCUUGGUCGGGGUGAUCCAACGGUGAGAAAUAUCUAAAAAGAGGAAAAAUAUCUUGGCCGCCACGUCAUCAAGCCAAUCUAGUCUAAUCAAAAGGCGCGGCGUCAUUGGGUUCUCUCUCUAUUCUGGUGGCCAGUAUUUUAAACUAGCAUUUUCUUUAUUUUAGGGAUUUUUGAGUGGAGACAGGUGGCAUGGAGGUGGGUCCCAUAGGUUAGAUAUAUAAAUCAUGCAAAUAAAGCUUUAACAUGGAGAUAUUUUGAGGAUAUUUAUGGGUGCUUUUGAGGGAGGGAGGCAAAUGGAGAUCAUGGCCAGGGAUGGUGCCACGUGGAUGGCAAGAGGGAGAGAGAUUAGGACCUUCCAAGUGGUCUAUUGCCAUCUUCACGUUUCUGAUGUGUGCUAUAAUUUAAAGUGGUGGGCUGUGAUUGACUAGUGGGUAAAGAAAACGUGUGGUGUUGUUUGGGUUUGAUUGGGUAAAAGGGAGAGUGUUGGAUGCUAUAGGAUACAAUAUUACCCACCCACUAGCACUGGUGGAUAUUAUACUCUUGCUUAGAGUGACAUUAACCUUUGUUUAAUAGCCUCUAGCCCUCUAAUCAUCUAGUAUUCUCUAGUUCAUACUAGAUGGCACCUAUGCCCUUGUUUGGUACAUUACACCAAAAGUCUCUUCAAUACUAUUUUUGUGUGACUUUGAGGUUAGGUAAGUGUUGGGAUGUUUGUAAGAGUUUGUACAUGAGUUUGUGGGAAUGAUAACACUAAUUGAAAUUUUCACAUCAAAUGUAUGUCAAUAAGAAAAGAAAGAUACGUAAGAAAGCAUUAGUGAUGAACUACCAAUUAACUUGUAGCAAAUUGUUGUAAAGUUGUAAUGUUGGUAAACUCAAACCCAUAUUAACACUUAAAAGUAUUUUUACUACUUCAACAAAUAAGAAUAAAUUAUGCUCUAUAAAUUACGUGAGAUAAUUAUAUAUAUAUAUAUAUAUGUAUAUGAGAAGACGAUAUAGUUUACGCGACCUAACAAAAAGCAUACGCAAACAAUAAUACCCUAAGACUUCGGAAGCGUAUAUCUAGCAAUGCAGUUAAGUUUUUUUGUUGUUGUUGAUAUAAUACCCCUAGAGUUGUGAAACAUCCUUUUAACUUCUAAAUUUCAAUAUAUUUUACUUCUAGAGUGAUGUUAUUAACACACCCCUUAUAUGGUGAGAAAUUGAGAACCAAUCAUCAAUGAAAUUCAGGUGAUAAGUUUGUAAAUAAAAUAAAAAUAUGUGGAUAGAAAAAUAAAUAAGAUGUGUUAAUAACAAAAAAAAGAUGUGUUAAUAGUAAUACCCUACUUUUAAGGACAUGAACGGAAGAACCUAGUACCCUUGCUAGUUGAUAAUAAAAUGAUAGUAGGCCCAACCAAUUAUAGUUUACAAGGACCCAACAAAAUGUGUUGAAGAAAAACAUAACACUGUAUUAAGAGGCCCAACAAUGUGUGUCAAGGAACCAAAGCAAUACCUUUUAUUUUCCUUUCUUUUUUUGGAAAUGUUUUAUUGUCCUUUCAGCCCUCACUUAUUUCAUCUUUAGUAUUCAACCUCAAAAAAAAAAAAAAAGUUUGUUGGAAUUUCACCCAUCAUUCUCACAAGUAGAGAAAAACUCCAAUAUUGAACUCAGAAAUAUCUACUCACACCAAUGCCUAUCCUUUUAAUGGAAAACCUUCCACAAAGUGACAAAAGGCAGCCAAUUUAAGGCAUUGGACUCAACACGUGUUAGUGGCUCCAAAAUGUCCAACCAAAGGCCCAUCUCGCAUUAUGCAUUGAAUGUAGAAUCCUAACCCAUCAAACCACCUCCACCGUCGAUCCUCCUCACUCCACAAAAUCAACGCCUCAGAUCUCUUCACUCUCUACACUUAACCGCAGAGAAGGUUUUGCAGUGGAUAACGUCUGAAUCUUUUGCCGCGUAGUGAAUGGUCCAUCAGUAUAUCCAAAAACCCCAUCUUUCUCUUUCUCUCUGCUAAAAACCCCCAAUUUGCUUUCACAAUUCCAAACCCUAAUUCUGAAUUCUGAACUAUAUCACCAAAAUGGCUGCUCUUUUUAGUCUACCAUCUUCUAGCUUCUUGGCAAAGCCCCAAAGCUCCAAGCUUUCAUCUGACUUUUCCAAUUUCCUGAACCCAUGUCAGAAUUUGAGACCCAUCUCGAUUUCUAUAAGACCCAGAAGCAAGGAGCAUGGUGUGAAGAUGUCCUGGGAUGGUCCAUUGUCUUCUGUCAAGCUGAUCAUACAGGGAAAGCACUUGGAGGUACUUAGUUUCAGCUUGGCUUGCUCUUUGGGUUGUCUUGAAAUGCUGGAAAUUGUAGAAAGAUGAUAGCUUUGAUUUGUUUUGAAGUUACUAAGUUAGGGGUUUGGAGAAUCUUGUUGGGUUUUGAUUGAUUUUUUUGGUGUAAUGCUGUUGUGUGUUUGGACUUUAAAGUUGAGCAACAUCUAUGAUCAGAUUUAAGAAAGUACAUUAUGCUGAAGAAAUAGUUAUUUGGGACACUGUUUAAGAACAAUUUUGUGUUUCUGAAACUAAUGGUUUGUAGCAAGUUUGUAGUUUUAGCUUACAUUUGCAGAAAAUAUAGCUGUAUAUGUGUUCAAGUUUGGAUCUUUAAGCACUUUUUAGAGGUUUGGAUUUGUUAUGUGCAUUAUUGCGGGUUUUGGGACUAAACAAACAAAUUAUGGCAAAACUACAAUCACAAUCUAAAGGGUUCUGGGUUUUGCAUUUGAAAGUGAUUCUUUGUUUUUGAGAUGAAAGAGUUCUAAGCAGUUCUGCUACAUGCAGCAGAUUUCAAAACCAGGAAAUUGAUUUUAUAUAGAAUACCAAACAACCUCCAAGUUAUCUGUAUGGAUGCCACUCUGAACCAUUUGUUUAGGUAGAAUUUGGAAAUUUGCAAUGACUUGUGAAGCUUUUGAUUAGACCUUAAGCUGCUGUUCUAUUUAAACUGCUCUAUUGGUGAGUAUUUAAUUAUGCAAAUGAGUGGAAUCUGAUUGAGAAAUUUGAAUAUGUGAACUUAGUUGACAGAACCAGUGAAGAAGCAUGUGGAAGAAAAAGUUGGAAAGGCGAUUCUAAAGCACAGCCACCUGGUGAGGGAAGCCGAUGUUCGGUUGUCUGUUCGUGGUGGAGAGCAAAAAGGCCCAAAGAUUAGAAGGUGUGAGGUAUUGGCAUAUGACAUUUGAAUGAAUGUUUCAGAAUAUUUGCAUUUGAGUAAAUGGUGCAUUCUCAUAAGCAAUUGUUUAUCUGUGUUCAUUUAGGUCACUUUGUUCACCAAAAAGCAUGGAGUGUUCCGGGCUGAGGAAGAAGGUGAGACACUUAUUGCAAGCAUAGAUAUGGCUUCUUCCAUCAUCCAGAGGAAGUUGAGGAAAAUCAAGGAGAAGGAAUCAGACCAUGGCCGCCACAUGAAAGGCUUUAACAGAUUGAAAGUCAGGGAGGCACAACUCCCCGUGGAAGUGGAAGAAUCAGGUCCCCAGGAUGAAGAGGAAGACUUGUUGGAUGAGGUUGUUCGUACAAAGUACUUCGACAUGCCACCUUUGACAGUAGCUGAAGCAGUAGAUCAACUGGAGAACCUUGAUCAUGACUUCUAUGCUUUCAGAAAUGAAGAAACUGGUAUGAACUACAAAAUUCCUUGCGCCUUCAUUGCCUUGUACAUCAGUUUUAUUUAUUUAUUCUGUCAUCUAAUGGUUGAAAUCUUUCUUUGUUAUUGCUCAGGUGAAAUUAACAUUCUAUACAGAAGAAAGGAAGGAGGCUAUGGGGUUAUUAUACCCAAAGGAAGUGGGAAAGCUAAUAAGGUGGAGAAUGUGGUGGUAGAACGUGCUUAUGAACACACUGCGGCAGAGUAAGAAGGACUAGGAAAGGUUCUGUAUAGUUAUGUUUUCCUCUAAUGAUCUGAAGGAUUUCGAGUAACAGUAACGUGAAAGCUGACGCCUCCUGAGACAAACUUUGAUCCAAAGUGUGAGAGGCAUUGUUUUGUACUGUAAUGUAUGAACCAAAAUUUCUGAUAUACAAAUUACAAGCAUCAUUUCAUUGUUGCCCAACACAUUGGGACUAGCCAAUAUUACAUGUUUAACUCCCUUCUAUUGGUUCUUGGUGCCUAAUGCUAACUAACAGACCAUCCAUGAAAAGAAAGAAAGAGAAUUGCUGAGGAAUUGAAAGAACAUGUAAAAAGAAAGACAAAUUGAUUGGUGCUUUGUGAAUUAAAAGGUAAAAGUCAUAGGGCAGCUAAAUGAACUGAACUUUCAUUCCACGUUCAGAUCAAUUACAUAAGCUGGCGUUUUCGGUGUAAAACUCUCGGAUGAAACAGUUAAGAGCUUAUUCAGUGACAUUCCUUCCCCCAAAAUUUUCCUCUUCACUUCAUACCUGGCUUUAAUUCUGUCAUCAAGUUUGUAUCCAAGGAAUGCAGGGAAGGCUAAUAACUCUCCGAUUUCACGACCCAUUUCAUUUAUCAAGUACUCCAUCUUCUUCUCCAAAGCACCAUGACUGUACUGCAGUAUCUGAGGAUGCCUCCUGCUCAUGACAACAAUGUCGGCACACGAAAAACCAUAACUCAAGAACAGCUCGAUCACUCUUUGCAAGUUAUCAGAGCUUGUUCUGGUGGCAGAUCCUAUUGCUGCUGCCAUGUCCCUUGUUCUAUACCUAUACCCAAUCUUCACCAAAAACACAAGCUUAUAUGCAAGGUUGUCUUCAAACGACAAGCCUAGAAACAAUGGAGCUUUGAUCAAGAACUUGUAGAUAUCAUUCGAACUCAACCCACAUUCCUUCAGAAACUUAAUUCUCGGACGCAUUUUCCUCUCCCUGCUGGCACUAACCACAUUGGGGAAAACAAGCAAGAUUUUGAAUAUCUGUUCAUCACUUAAACCAGCAAAAGACCUCAACAACUCAACAUGCCCUUUAGUAUGAUCCACAGUGUAGCUCAAAAUCGCAGGGAGCUUACCCAACAAUACCCCGGUGGCAUUUUCAUCUCCACCACUAACCUCAGUGAGAAACUCAACUCUCGGAGCCAGCUGAGUCUCCAAGUCAUAAUUCAGUAGCGAAGGACGCCUCACAAUCAAAUCAAUCCCACCAAAACGGUUCAAAAACGUAAUAGUCGUAUCAAUAUCCUCAACUGACUUAAGACACAAUGCCUUGUACAGAUUCACCUUGUUGAGAACAUCCACAAUCUUCUCAUCCGAAACACCGCGACGAAGAAGCAAUCCUACUUUCUCAUCAAAUCCCACCAAGAAUCUAACGUCUGCUGCCCGGAAAAGCUUCCUCAGCUGCCCUGGCUCAAUCUUGCCUGCCAAAUCAUGACGGACAAAACUCAAAAAGGGACCAAUCUCCUCAGCAGUUAACAAGUUCGGACAUUUGGUGAUCAAAUUGGAAAGCACAAGCCCAUCUAGUCCAACUGAAUUAAAGCACUCAAUCCGAGCUCGUAAACAAUCCAAAGACGUAAAAGACAGAACCGGGUUCUUGUUUAACAGAACUUUUGCUUCUUUGUCAUCGAUUCCAACCGCUUGCAACAGCGAGAACACUGUCCCUGCCACAAAAUAUAAGAAAUUAAAAUGUAGCAAGCUUAGGUUACACGCCAUCUAGACCGAGGGAGGGUUGCAUUGGUUUGGUUACCUAUAUCGGCCGUGAUUGGACUGGAACUGCAUUGGAGAUUGGGUCGGAAACCCAGUUGGGUUAGUAACGGGUUUGGGUCGGGUCUUGGGGUUUUAGCGAGUGUUGGCAGAGAAGACCAUUGAUGGUUAUGGAAGGUUGAGAGUAAAGAGUGUGAGAUAUGAGCGGUGGGAGGAAGUGGGUAUGGAAAUGGAGAAUCAAAGAAAGAAGGAGUGGGGAAAGGGUGUGUGAAGAGAGCGUAGGCUGAGACCAUGUUAGUGAUUGAAGAGGUUUCGGCUAAGGAGUUGGGAGCUUGAAGACGACGGUUAACGUUCGUUUUGGGAUUGGAUUGGAUAUUAUGGGCCACAACCGCGCGUGCACUCUUGUCAAAGCCCAAUUCAUUAUUACUUUACAUCAAAGGUAGGUUUUUAAGACCGAGAGACUAAUCUUUGUCGGAAGAUAUCGUCAACUUAAACUCCACUUAACGACUAAUCUUUGUCGGAAGAUAUUGUCAACUUGAACUCCACUUAGGCUCUUACCAGCUCGAUCACAUGUGGCUUUUAAACCGCAAUUCAUAUGGCCUCAUACAAGUCAUGAGGAGUCAUGAGACUUGGAAUGCAAUGGUAUCUCGAAACAUAUUAAGCUUGCAAAAUAAUUAACAGCUCGAUCACAUGUGGUUUUUAAACCUCAAUUCAUAUGGCACCUCCCAAUUCAUACGAGUCAUGAGGGGUCAUGAGACUCGGAAUGCAAUGGUAUCUCGAAACAUAUUAAGCUUAAUUUAUAGUAAAUAUCUUGAACUUCUUUAGUUAUGCAAAAUAAUUAUUUCAUUUCCUGUUUUGGUAAAAAGUAAAUAAAAAAUGUUACAUGAAAUUAUGGACACACACUUGAGAGAACUCUACACUUAAUUCGCCAUUCACAACACUUUUGAAUCCUAAUGAGUAAUGACAGAAGUAUGAUAGGUGAUCAUAACCAUCUUCAACUCCCUGAGUGUGACCAGACCUCAUAUACUCAUAUCUGGAAAGUUUCUGAAAGGCCUCUAGAAGAGUCGAUAAACACUCCGCCGGUGCUGUCAUUAGGCUGUUGCAUUGCAGACAGCUAGAUCUUUCUGGGGGCAAAACUUCCCCCUGUGGCUGAUUUAUGAUCAAUCAUGCCUUGAAUUUCCUUUGGCUGUCCUUCAGACACUUCCUGGGAAGCUUUCCUUCAUUUUUCUCAUCCGUGGGAAUGCCUUUAAUAAAGACAAGAGACGAGCCAUCCUUUAUUGUUUUUCUUGGUUUCAAAGGAAACCUGGAACACAACCGAUGGACAAGUCUCAACCUUUAGUUAAAUAGCAGAAGUAACAGAAUAUCGAAAUUAGAUACUACUUAUUGCAAGUGCACUUACCCCUUUUCUGAAUCUUCUCUGUCAUCUGGCAUGUUGUCUUUACAGAAAUCUUUCCCUCUGUCAUUAAGAUUAUCAGUGGCGUCUUUGCAGACUUCCUUCCUUGCGUCAUUCCGUGAAUUCUGGACAAUGAAACAAGGGGAACAAACAUCAAUUCUUAAGUUCAUAUGAACAUGUAAAACAAAGCUACAAGUAUGACAUGCUGCAUUUAAGAAAGCACAAUAGUCAAAAUACAUUCUCUCCAAAAUGGCUCCGAAGUCCGAACAGUUGCAUAAUUCAAACUUGCAACACAAAAUCUAAUAAUCGAAACUCUUGAUAAAUUCUGAACCAGAAGGUAAAACCUGGCUAUAUCCAUAGCAUAAUGUCAUCAGAACUUAGCAAUAGUCUCCCUUACAUAGCAUUAAACUACCUCAAUUACUUUUUCGCCUUAUACAUGGAUAGAUCAAUGAGGGUGUAUCCUUUCAUCUUAUAAACUGAUAGUUCUUCUGUUGUGGGUCUCAACCCCAACAUCUUCAUCAUUAUAUUAAGAAAUACAUCAACUCAUUUAUACCCGAAUUACUGUUCUUGAAAUAGAAAGGAGGAAACUAGAAGAGUUGUAGCUCUGGAUUUCUGAACCCCAUUUCACUUACUCCAGUACACCUUCCAAUUAACUGAAGGCAACAACACUACUGUUGCUCCUAUACUCAAUGCAAACAUCAAAUUUCAAACACAUGAAAUCACAAACUAACAACAUUACAUGUAGCAUUUCAAAAGUGUCAACGACAUUAUCAUAUACCAAUUCAGCAUCAAAUAUUCUGAGAAGCAUUACAUGCUGAGCUCUACAAACAAUUUCACCGCAUUAUUAUAAAACUUAAAGCACAACCAGGCUAAGAAAUGAAACAAACCAAGACACAAAAAUGUUUUUAUCUUACUUCAAUGGGGUUGAGAGAUAUACAUUGAUCCGAAACCUCGGCUUCCUUCUUCUUCUUCCUCUUCUCCUCAAUGCCAUCAUCACCUUCCUCAUCACCACUCACCACUUUCCUCUUAUUCCUCCCAAAGCUCCUCACCUUGCUCUUCUUCUCCCUCACUUUCCAAACACUCUUUCUCCUAAACACCAACUUCUCCGUCUUCCAAACUUCACAGCUCGUAUCGAUCACCGUCACUUCGCUCUUCGAAUACCCCUUCAGCUCUCUCUCCCCUCUCUCCUCCAACUCUACCUCAUUCUUCGAAUUCAACGAAGGCACAGUCCUAAGGUCAUUUACGUCAUUUCCAAUGCUGCCUGAGCUCUUGAGUUUGCUAGUGACACAGAGUCUGGGGUGGGUUUGUUUUCUGGGGACUUUUUUCCCGGAAAGUCUGGAGCUUUCUUCGGAGCCGUCGAUGAAGAACAGCUCGGAGAUGGCGGUGCUCAUCAGGCCCAGCAAUGCCUCUCCCUUUUUGGCGUCUCGGGUCGGACCGGAAGAUUCGGGUCGAUUUGAGACAAGUGGAGUUGAGUCGGCAUUGGGGUUUGGGGAUUCCGAGGAGGAGGUGGGGUUAUGUUUAAGGAAGUGGUCGAGGUCGAGGUUGUCGCAGGCAGGGAAGCCCUUGUUGGACCGGAGGCGGUCCAGCCAGUUGGGACCGGACUUGGUGGCGCGGACGGAGCAGAGCAUUGGUGAGGUGGAGGGAUCUGAUUGGCUGGAAGGAGAGAGAGGUUUGAUUUGGGAUCGAACAGGUGAUGAUUGGGGUCGAAGAAUUUGGGUGUUUGGUUUGGUCGAUGAUGUUUGAGUACGGAGCUCAAAGGUGAAGACUUGGAAGUUGAAACGAAGACUGUUCUGUCCUGUGUUACGUGGCAAAUAGACGAGUAUUUGUUGGCUUUUUUACUUUUACAGUUUUACCUUACCAAGCUGGAUUGUUUGAACCCUACUUACAACAAAGGUUCGAAAGCUCGUUAAGCGCUAUUGGAUUAAGCGGUUUUUUUUAUCAGGUAAAUUAUAAUUGCGUGAGUCAAACUCACAACCUCUCACUUACUUACAACAAAGGUUCGAAAGCUCGUUAAGCGCUAUUCGACUAAACGGUUUUUUUUAUCAGGUAAAUUACAAUUGUGUGAGUCGAACUCACAAUCUCCCACUUACUAAAGAGGAAACUAUGUCACUAGAUCAAAUGAUACUGGGCCAGACUUAGCGGUCUUGAGUUUGAUGCAAUUCUUGAUAUAUUUCACUUGAUGAAAUAAUGUAAUGAAUUUUCCAAUACAGUUUUUAUGUUCAUCCCAUCAAAAUUCAAAAUUACGUGAGUUAUGAUUUCAAGUUUUUACUUUUUAAGAUUUAGGAGUAUUAAUGCGGGAUGGUCAUUAUUUGGUUCAUUCAUUACAUGAACUAUGAUCUGAUAAACAAACUAGGUAGAGCGCAUACAAGAACCAAAAUGAUAAUUCUGGUUAAGAUAGAAAGUCAAACAAGGUGAUCCUCUAUCUCUAAACCUAUCUAUAAGGUUUUAGGCGACGUCGAAAACAAGAACACCCUUCAGCCACCGGGAAACAAGCACUUGGAAGUUGAAAACUUUAGACGACAAACGUACGAUACCACAGCUUUUGUCGUUUCGCCUCCUUCUCUAAACCUCUGCGCUUGGAAAUCUAUGUACGUAUCAAACUAUCUAAUCUUUGUCGUCCACCAAUCCCACAUCCUAUUUUUGCUUUGAGGCCUCCCCUGGUUUUCCUGACGCCACUGAAACGGCGCCGUCGUAUAUGAAACCCAAACCAACUCCUAUUAGUUCCUUUGUUUGAUGCUAGAAAUCCCCAGAAACCAAAAAUAUAUUAACGAAGGUGCAGAGUUUGUGUCAAAGUUUCGAGCAACAUGGGUCUGAUUGGUGCGCUGCAUGAGAUUUUGGAGAUGGUGAAAAUAGAGUACACCGACUUUGUGAUGCUUCUGGGUCCUUUGUGGACGGCUUUUCUUAUUGGUAUUGUGAUUGGUUGGGCGUGGAAGCCAAAGUGGGCAACAUUUGGUCAGGAAAAACUGAACUCCUCUGUUUCUAAAGCCUUGGAUUUGUCAUCCAUGCCUACUUCUCCGGCUAGGUCUGUGAUGUCACCACCACUAAAAGGGUUCUCAUCAGCACCGUGCUUGUUCCAGGGCUAUGAAGCUUGGAUUAUUAACAAUGCAGUUCAUAAUGCUGUGCAGAAGAGGCUUUCUCCCUCACCUAUCGAAUUUGAUGACCAGAGGUAACGAUAUUUGUGACAGUUUUGUUUGUGAUUUGAUGUGAAAAGAAUUGGACCAAAUUUCUUAGUGGUUUUUGUACAUUUUGUGUAGUACAUCGCAGAUGAAUGAGAAGAAGUCUGAUGUGGUGGCUCAGGAGGAUGUAGAACAUCUAUGUCAGCUUGUUGAUAUGAAAGAUGGAGGUCCGAGUUGGAUACAUAUGAUGGAUCGUUCGACUCCAACUAUGACUUGUCAAGUUUGGCGUAGGGAUCCCAAGGUAAUUGGUUUCCCUAAUUUCUCAUUACUAGCAUAGUUUUUGUAGACAGUAGAAUUCAUUACAAACAAGCACAGCCAUGUUUCAUUGCAAGGAGAACUGUUUAAGGACAUAAUACACAAUACAUGUAACAUUGUUUCCUAUUCUUCUGUUAGAUUGGUCCUCCUCAAUAUCGUAGCAGGACUGUGUAUGAGGAUGUAACACCGGAGCUAGUGAGGGACUUUUUCUGGGAUGAUGAGUUCCGGUUAAAGUGGGAUGACAUGCUUAGUGAGGCCACGACCUUAGAUGAGUGCCCAACCACAGGAACAAUGGUUGUUCAGUGGAUAAAAAAGGUGAGACUUGAAAUCUGUUUUUUAUGUUCUCACUUCUAGAGUUCUAGUCAGUUACGAUUAUAAAGAUUCUCGCUUGCAUAUGCUUAAUUAAGUUGUUUAUCUCUGCAUUGCUCUCAUUCUGCAGUUCCCUUUCUUCUGUAAAGACAGAGAAUACAUAAUAGGACGGCGAAUUUGGGAGUCAGGAAGGUUGUAUUAUUGUGUGACAAAGGUAUGAGGGAUGGAUUUUUUGUUUGACAUCUAUGUUCUUUUCUCUUAUCACUUCACUUAAUCUGAUGAUUGCUGGCCUCUACCUUGCAAUGCCAUUUGUUGAUGUGAAAUGGGUAAUAGCACAUACCGACGACUAAGCAGAAAUAGGGUUCUGUUAUCAUUUCUUUUUUGAUUAGAUACAUCAAUGUUUGUCUUUUCACUUGUAGGGAGUACCCUAUCCUUCUAUUCCAAGGCAUGACAAACUAAGACGUGUGGAUAACUACUACUCAAGUUGGUGCAUUCAAGCAGGUGUAUAAACUUAUGCUAGUCCUCUUUGAUUUCAUCAAAAUGACAUAUCUAUAUCCAGUGCUUUGGUUUCAUCAGCGCAAUGAUCAAGUGGCAUUCUUAACUUGUACAUAACCUGCAGCUGAAUCAAGACACGACAAUGGCCAGCUCAGUGCAUGUGAAGUUCAACUGUUUCAUCAAGAGGAUAUGGGGAUCCCAUGGGAAAUCGCAAAACUUGCUGUACGAAAAGGAAUGUGGGAUACUGUAAAGAACAUAGAGUCUGGUUUACGUGCUUACCAGAAACAAAGAGCGUUAGGGGGGAUAAUUUCUCGGCCUGCCUUUAUGGCGCAAAUCAACACCAAAAUAAGUCUAGAGUAUCUGAAAGCUUCCGCUGGCACCGAGGUUUCAUCACAAACUGCAGUGGUGACUGCAUCUGAUGACAAGCCUUUCGGUGGGAACAUACGAAAUCUCAUAAUAAUUGGUGGGAGUAUUCUUCUUGCAUGCACUCUUGACCGGGGGUAUCUGGUAAAGACAAUAAUAUCCGGUGUGGCCAAUAAGUUCGGAAAUGUGGGGAAGAAAUCAAAACCAAAGUGAUUGGAUCUAAUCCAAGAAGUAUUGACAGGUAUUCAGUAAUCUGCAUCCUGAUAAUUCCCUUUUCCGAGUUUUCAACAGGAUACAAAGAGCACACUAGUGUAGUACCAUAAACCCUCGUCUUACUAGAGAAAGAGGAGAGGUUAUUCUUUAGUUGAAUAACUAAUAAAGCAUAUGAACCCUAGAGUUGUUGUAUCCAGAAUAUGGUGACAUUUUGUAGCUGUAUAUACAUAAACAGAUAUUCUUUAGGUUUCCACACUGCUGAAUUAGGCACUUCAGAUUGGGAACUAUCAGAAACAGAGUUCAAGUCUCGUUGCUUAUGUUAGUCUUAUUUUCACACUGGCUUCUUCUAGAUUUAAUCAAUACUGAACUAGAUGGAGUUUCCUUGCUCAUAGUAUGUGAAUUUAUUGUGGUUUUUCGUAUUUGUAAUGGGAAUCUCAAUCAUAAUAGAAGGAAUUGUAAUCCACCGAUGGUUGUAUAUGUUGAGAAUAACAAUGUUAGUUGACAGAUGAAUGACAACAAGGAAAGAUAAGAGAUGAAUUCCUCAUGAUAUCUAUUCCGUUCAAGUGUAGCAGCUGGAAAUUGAAAUGCUGAAAAGAGAGGAGAGGAGAUGAGAUAUAUUUCCCUUUCAUGAACUAUAUACAGACUGGAAGUAAUGCAUGUAUCCUUGGCAAUUAACGACCAACCAAGGUUUCAAAAGAUUCCAAACCAUCAAAUUGGGGUGCCAACUUUGGCAUUUGUGUGCUGCUGAUCACCUCCACCUUGGCUUUUCUCAUAAAGUUCUCAAUAGAUGCUCGAAUCCCACCUCCAAUUUCCUGAUUCAAGAAGUUGAUUCAAAUACAAAUCAUGCAGAUUAGACAUAAAGAUUCGCUCUGAGUUCUAACCUUUUGUUUGUAAUGGUUUUUGUCGAUGAAGUAAAUCCCAGCACCAGCAGCAACGACAAAAGGCAGUGACAUACUGAUAGUACUCGUGGCCAUUGCAACUCCAGAAGAUAACAGUUUAUUGAGGCAAUUGGCCUUUCUAAUGAUAAUGUGUGAAUUUAUAGAUAGCUUUGAGUGGAGGGAAGACAAAAGGGGAGUAGAGCAAAGGAAUGUGAGAUGCCUUGGUGGUGAAGGCAAGUAAAGAAUGGCACCAUUCACCAAUAAAGACGGAUUGACGGAAAGUUAGAAAAGCAGAAACUAAUCAAACUACAAGCUAGUAUGGAAGAGAUUAUGGUCCAUUUCGUUCGAAAACAAUACAUGCGGAACAAAUGAACAAUGACUCAUAACAAUAACAAAAUUGCUUUAUCUGCAGUUUUUCUUUAGGGGUACGCAAGUCUGCAUACCAUGCGACGAUCAUCUCAAAAAGAUAGUAAGUGACCAUGUAAAAAUCAUUUACCCUCUCAAAAUCCCGCCGCCCCCCACGCCACGAUUUCCAUUAUGUAUUCUAUAUACACAUAUCUCUACAAUAGACAAACACUUUCCUCUUUCUUUAGACAUGUUACUGAGACCUCACCUACAAAUUUUCCGACCAUCUUAACGCAAAAUUUACAGAUCCGGUAAUCCAUUUUAACCCGAUAAAACAUAUAAGUGUCGUACAUUCCAUUUAGAAUCUCUCAAUAAUAAUGCUACAUGAGUGUCACUAAUGCUAAUGUUUUAUCUUGCUCCCCAAAAUCAGUUCGAGAAGUGCAAAAAUAUUAGAACUAAAAUGUAAGAAAAUAUUUGUCAAAAAAUUAGAACAUACGUUUUUAGGCCAAAAAACAUGUGCUAUACCCACAGUUUUUGGGGCGAAAUGAGUUUUUGACGAAAAAAAAUUAAAGUUGGAGAAAAUUCAGGAGAAGGCUCCCAUUAUGUUAGAUAUUCAUAACCUAAAAGGUUUUUGGCGAAAAAUCACAUUUUUUCUAUUACAUAUGGUCAAUAUUUGAGUCGCAUUCUCGGUCUUCACAUUGACUUUGAAAAGUCAUAUAAGAAAAUCGGUUCAACAUUUUUUAGUUCUGUCAGUUCGAGAAGUGCCAAAAUAUCACGACCUAAUUGUGAGAAAAUUUUUGUAGAAAAAAAAAAAAGAAACAUGCAUUUUUAGGCCGAAAAACGUGUGCUAUAUAUAGCCCACAGUUUCUGGCGAAAAACGAGUUUUUGAUGGAAAAAAAUUAAAGUUGGAGAAAAUUAAAGAGAAGGCUCCCAUUAUGUUAGACAUUCAUAACAUAAGAGGUUUUUGGUGAAAAAUCACAAUUUUUCCAAUACAUAUGGUCAAUAUUUGAGUCACAUUCUCGGUCUUCAUAUUGACUAUAAAAAGCAUAUAAGAAAAUCGGCUCGAUAUUUUUUAGUUUUGUCAGUUCAAGAAGUGCCAAAAUAUCAAAACCUAAAUGUGAGAAAAAUUUUGUGAAAAAAAAUAGAAAAUGUGUUUUUAGGCCGAAAAACGUGUGCUACCACAGUUUCUGGGGAAAAACGAGUUUUUGACCAAAAAAAUUAAAGUUGGAGAAAAUUCAGGAGAUUCAGGAGAAGGCUCCCAAUAUGUUAGACAUUCAUAACCUAAGAGGUUUUUGGCGAAAAAUCACAUUUUUUCCAUUAUAUAUGCUGAAUAUUUGAGUUGCAUUCUCGGUCUUCAUAUUAACUUUGAAAAGUCAUAUAAGAAAAUCGGCUUGAUAUUUUUAGUUCUGUCAGUUCGAGAAGUGCCAAAAUAUCAAGACCUAAAUUUGAGAAAAUUUUUGUGAAAAAAAUAGAACAUGCGUUUUUAGGCCGAAAAGCGUGUGCUUUUGGGGAAAAAUGAGUUUUUGACGAAAAAUUUAAAGUUGGAGAAAAUUCAGAAGAAGGCUCUCAUUAUCUUAGACAUUCAUAACCUAUGAGGUUUUUUUUUGUGAAAAAUCAUAUUUUUUCCAAUACAUAUGGUCAAUAUUUGUGUCGCAUUCUCGGUCUUAAUAUUUACUUCGAAAAGUCAUAUAAGAAAAUCGGCCCAACAUUUUUUAGUUCUGUUAGUUCGAGAAGUGUCAAAAUAUUAAGACCUAAAUGUGAGAAAAAUUUUGUGAAAAAAAAUAGAACAUGCGUUUUUAGGAAUUUAAAAUGUGUGCUAUAGCCCACAGUUUAUAGGGAAAAACGAGUUUUUGACCGCCUAGACCCACGUAGGUACCACCUAGACCCAAUUAGGGGAUUUGAAUUUGCCAACCAGCAAAGGUUGGUGGUCUCCAUGACCAUCCAAUCAAAAAUUGGAUGGUUAUGAUUGAAUGGUCAUGGAGACCACCAACCUCUGCUGGUUGGCAAAUUCAAAUCCCCGAUUAGGGACCGCCUUAACUCGCUUAGGGACUGCCUUGACCCGCUAAGAGGCCCUACACCCACUUAGGGACCACCUACACACUCUAAGUGACCGCUUAGGGGUCGCCUUGACCCGCUUAGGAACCACCUAGACCCCUUUGACCUGCCAAAGAACAGCCUUGACCCGCCAUGACCUGCCAAGGGAUCGCCUUGACCCUCCUUAUCAAGACAAGGGGUUGCUUUGACCUGCCUUGACAUGCCAAGGGACGCUUUGACCCACCAAAGGGCUGUCGAGACCCGUCUAGGGUCGCUAGUUGGCCGCCCUAACCCGCCUUUACCUGCAAGAGACCGCCGUGACAUGUCAAUGGGCCGCUUUGACCCGCCUUAAAUUGCCAAGGGACCAUCUUAGCCCUCCUAAACCAACGUAGGUAUCACUUAGACCCGCUUAGGGACCGCCUAGGCCUGCUUAUGAACCACCUAGACCCGCUUAGAGGCCGCCUAGGGCCGCUAAGGGGUUGCAGAGACCCACAUUGGGCCGCCAAGGAUGCGCCUUGACAUGCCAAUGGGCCGCUUUGACCCACCUUGUCCUGCUAAGAGACCGCCUUGGCCCUCCUAGACCCACGUAGACCAACUAAGGACCGCCAAGGCGUCGCCUUGAUUCUCUUACGACCAUUAAGACCCGCCUAGACCUGCUUAGAACCGCGUAGGGACCGCCUAGACCCGCUUAGGGGUAGCCUAUACUCACCAAGGGGCAGCCGAGACCCGCCUAGGGCCGUUAAUGAGCCGCUAAGGGGCUGCUUUGACCCGCCAUGACCCGCCGAGGGCCGCCAAGCAACUGCUUUGACCCGCCUUGACCUGUUAUGGGACCGUCUUGAUCGCCUUGACUUGCCAAACGACCGCCUUGACCCGUCUUGAAAUGCCAAGGGGCCGCUUUGACAUGCCAAGGGGCGGCUUUGACCCGCCUUAACUUGCCAAGGAACCGUCUUGGCCCUCCUAGACCCACGUAGGUACCACCUAAACCCGCUUAGGGACUGCAUAGACCAGCUUAGGAACCUCCUAGACCCGCUUAGAGGCCGUUUAGGACCGCUAAGGGGUUGCCGAGACUCGCUUAGGGCGGCCACGGGGUCGCCUUGACUCUCCCAGGGCUAUAAAGACCCGCCUAGACCUGCUUAGAACCCGCGUAGGGACCACCUAGACCCUCUUAGGGGUAGCCUAGACCCGUCAAGGGCCACCAAGGGGUUGCUUUGACCCGUCAAGGGCCACUAAGCGGCUGCUUUUACCCGCCUUGACCGGUGGUUACAUGCUAACGGGCCGCUUUAACCCACUUUAACUUGCCAAUGGACCGUCUUGGCCCUCUAAGACCCACGUAGGUACCGCUUAGACCCACUUCGAGACCGCCUAGACCCGCUUAGAGGCCGCCUAGGGCCGCUAAGGGGCUGCCGAGACCCACUUAGUGUCAUCAAAGGGGUGCCUUGACUUGCCAAAGGACCACCUUGGCGCUCUUAGACCUACGUAGGGACCACCAAAACCCAUUAAGGGCCGCAAAGGCUGUUCCUUGACCCGCUUACGGCAAUCAAGCCCUGCCUAGAACCUGCAUAAGGACCGUCUAGACCCGCCAAGGGGAUGCCAAGACCCACCUAGGGUCGUCUUAACCCGUCAAGGGCUGCCAAGAGGCUACUUUAACACGCCUUGACUUGCCAAGCGGUCGUUUUGACCAGCCUUGACAUGCCACGGGGCCGCUUUAACCCGCCUUGAAACGCCUAGGGACCAUCUAGACCCCUUUUGACUCACCUUGACCUGCUAAAGGACUGCUAGGGGCUGCCGAGACCCACAUUGGGUUGCCAAAGGACUGCCUUGGCCCUCCUAGACCCAUGUAGGGAUCACCUAGACCCACUAAGGGCCGCUAAGGUGGUGCCUUGACCCGCUUACGACCGUCAAGCCUCGUCUAGACUUGCUUAGAACCCACGUAUGGACUGUCUAGACCUGCUUAGGGGUAGCCUAGACCCGCCAAGGGGCUGCCGAUACCCUCCUAGGGUCGCUAAUGGGCCAUCUUGACCCGCCGAGGACUGCCAAGCGACCACUUUAACCCGCCUUGACCUGCCAAGGGACCGCCUUGACAUACCUAUAGGCCGCUUCGACUCGCCAUGACCGCCUUGACCCACCUUAACAAGCCAAGGGGCCGCUUUGACCAGCCUUGACGUGUCAAGGGGUCGCUUUGACAAACAAGUACACAAAAUCAAUCAAUCAUAUUUAGAAGCAGAGCCUAAAAUGAUCAUAGCCUAAAACAAGUACACAAAAUCAAUCAAUCAUAGCCUAAAACAAGCACAGCCUAAAAAGAAAAGAAGAAGAAGACCCAGCCAUAAAAUUGAUCAAUUCGCAGUAAAUCAGGCUACCUAGGCACUGAAUCCUUCAAAGCUCACCUCUAGUCAAAUCUGCAAGCAUCUUGCUAACCGUAGUUCUUAGCUUCGCAUCAGUCAUCUUACUUCGAGCAUAACCAAAAAUAGUAAAGUGCUGCAACAAAGAUCACACAUUCAUUAUCAAACCUACUGAUCCAAACCUCGAAAUCAAUAACAAACGAGAGAAAGAAAAACAAUUUCACACACCUUAGGAGGUAACCGUCAUGAUGAAGUACGAAAAGAGCCAUGAAUAUCUUCUUCUCAGCAAAGGAUCACCAGAUGCUCCAACCAUAGUAAUACUCAGUGGACGACUAAACCCACUCGAUUCUUUACUUUUCUUUAAAGACCCAGCCAUAGCUGAAAGCAAUCCAUCUUUCAAUUUCUUGAAAGCAAUUUCAUUCUUCACAGGCUUUGUUGCUUGAGCUACUGCCCACACAACCGAUACAAAAUCCAAAUAAGACACUAAAAUCGAAAAGCUAAGUCCAAAUUGAACAACAAAACUACUUUGUUUUACUAAAAUCCCAAAUGCUAUAAACAUAUCAAAUUGAUCAAUGACUAAGUUUAACAAAAUAAAGACUAAAACUUUACCCAAAUUGGAAAUUGAAAAAACCCAACUAGGAAAGAUAGAUUCGUACAAGUCUAACUAGUGCAAAACGAUCAACGCCGACCCAUAUUACUAGAGUGCACAACAACUGUUAACAUCUCACCGGAAUUGCAAAACAAAAAAGCAAGUAAUAUAGAUUAUCUGAACCUCGAUGCCGGCGAUUCAGAGGCCGCCAGUCUGAGUUUCUUAUCAGCGCUAACAAAAGAAGAAGGAGCAAGCACUCACUGUUGAAUCAUGGAACUCAAUCUGAGUUUCUUCUCGAUGCCUAGAAUAGUCACUUGCUUCGAUCUCCUCACUCCCUUUCGGUCACUCCGCUCAAUCAAUCAUUUCAUUCAAUCUGGUUUACUUCUUCACUGUUCAACCCUCAUCACUCUGCCUUCUGCGUUUUUUUUCACUUUUUUUUUGUUUUCACGGUCAACAGACGGAAAAGCUUGACGGCUCCGACAUGUGGUUUACAGUCUCCACGUCAGUAGGCACCGUCUAAGCCGCUUGGGUUCAAAAAUGCCCGGUCUAUUCCAGACGACUUCUUUUGUUUGACUUGUGGCCUUGGUCACCAAGCUCGUCGACUUGCAUUCAUGGGGCACUAUUAUGCACUUCUUGCACCUCAAGUUUCCUGUCGCCAUUAAGAAGGUAAGCAAUUCAAAAUUUUCUUCUUUAGUUCCCACUUCCCAAUGGUCUUACAGUCAAAGUGAGUACUAGAAAGAGUGACCAGUCAACAAUCCUCUCAAUCUUCUCUAGUUGCGUACUUGCUUAGUAUCACUAGGCCUCUGAUUUUUUACUACAAGUCAUUUGGGAGGCAGCAAGGAAAAAUGGAGGUGCAUUAUUUUUUUUUGUCGUGGCUGCUGCGUCUCUCCAGAUACAUCAUCUAUAUACCGAUGAAGAUCUUUUAAAUUUUUAGCAGUUAUCCUGAGAUGCAUUUAACCAUAACAAAAUUUGUCAUAAUGUAACAAGUCAUAUUAGAUUUGAUCUCUAACUAUAUAUUAUAUAUUAAUAAUUGUCACGUUCCCUGUGAAGUAUACUUUAUAAUAUUAGAAAGCAUAUUUCUCAUAUCGAUGUGUUUAAAAGCUGCUGUAAUACAUUUGUCAUACAUACAUCAAUAAUUCAAUACAAUUCUUCUUCAUAAGUUGAUUCCAGUAAGCGCACCGCUUCUUGCAAAGAGAUACAGAACCAAUUAAUGAUGGAUGCAGAGAAACAAAGAGGCGGUCUUGAAUCGCCUUUGAUUCCUGCUCCUCAUGAACAUGCUCUACAAUCAAGAAAGGGAUUGCUGAAUAAAGAUGAAAUCGUCGAGGAAGUGAAGAAGCAGCUUUUGUUAGCAGGGCCACUUGUGUCAUCGAACUUCCUGCUAUUUGGUACGCAAGUAAUUUCAGUCAUGUAUGUUGGUCAUCUUGGAGAGCUUUCACUUGCAGGUGCUUCAAUGGCCACUUCGUUCGCUUCAGUCACCGGUCUGAGCUUAAUAGUAAGAUGAUUCCUACUCUUUGUAGAAAAGAUAUACCUAUGCAAUGAUAUGUUCAUCUCGACUUUUGAUUCUAUUUCUAGCUUGAUGUAUGUUACUUGUCUCCAUUAUUAACUUUGAAGUUAUCAAAUAGUUGGGAAUGUGUAGCGCACUGGACACUUUCUGUGGUCAAUCCUAUGGAGCAAAACAGUAUCGAAUGCUUGGUAUACAUAUGCAGAGGGCAAUGCUUGUUCUUUUGCUGGUGAGCAUUCCUCUUGCAACCAUAUGGUUCAAUGCAGGAAGGAUUCUUCAGUUCUUGGGUCAAGAUCCAGAGAUAUCCUCUGCUGCAGGAGAUUAUGCUCGUUUGAUGAUACCUUGCAUUUUCGCUUAUGCGAUCCUACAAUGUCAUGCUAGAUUCUUGCAAACACAGAACAAUGUGGUUCCUAUGAUUGUUAGCACCGGAACGGCAACACUAUUACACUUUCUUAUCUGUUGGCUUCUGGUAUACAAGACCAGCCUCGGAUACAAAGGCGCUGCUUUGGCAAACGCCAUCACCUAUUGGAUCAACGCAUUGUUAUUAUUUCUGUAUGUCAGAAUAUCUCCAUCCUGCAAAAGGACGUGGACUGGAUUCUCAAAAGAGGCCUUCCAUGGACUUCCCACUUUUCUAAGACUAUCAAUUCCUUCAGCUCUCAUGCUCAGGUAAACUUUGGUUGAUAUGACACUAUUAACUUUGGAGAUUGUUUAGCUUGCAAUAACAUGGUUUUCACACAAAGGCACUGAUAUUUCGAAAAACAAGACACUACUCUGUGUUAUACCUGGUAAUAUACGAUAGAAAUACUUAGUAUGGUUUUUUGCUUUUAUGUUUUUGACAGCUUAGAGAUCUGGUCCUUUGAAAUGUCGGUUCUUGUAUCUGGUUUUCUUCCAAAUCCCAAGCUUGAAACCUCAGUCCUGUCAAUCAGGUUCGCAGUGCUUGAUAGUACUGAUUUGAGAAUAAUAUAAAGUUCUUAUUGGUAGCCAACAAAUAUGUAGCAAAAACGAUGAUAUUAACCGAUUAUAUCAUAUUACAGCCUUAACACAUGUGCAAUGGCAUACAUGAUUCCCCUUGCAUUCAGUGGUGCAGCAAGGUGAGUAAUUCUACAUUUAGGAACUUCAUACCUCUAUCAUGAAUCCUUGUUUCAAUAUCUCUGUUCCGUUUUUUUUGAUAGCACAAGAGUAUCAAAUCAAUUGGGUGCUGGGCAACCGAGACUGGCACGUCUAGCUGCAUGUGUUUCACUCUGCCUUGUUGUCAUUGAAGGCAUCAUUGUUGCUGCUGUAAUGAUAUUGGGUCGAAACGUAUGGGGAUAUUGUUACAGCAAUGAAAAACAAAUUGUGGAUUAUGUUGGUGAAAUGUUGAUUUUUGUUGCGAUAUCCCACUUUGCUGAUGGACCUCAAUCUGUUUUCUCAGGUUUCUUCAUAACUACAGACUCCUCAUAUACAUACCCAAGUUUUGUCAUUUUAAGAAAAUAUAUUGUUACUGAUUUACUGAAAAUAAGUUGAUUCACUCCCGAGUGUUUCAGGCGUCAUAAGAGGAAGUGGGCAGCAGAAGAUUGGAGCAUAUGUUAAUCUGGGAGCUUUUUAUCUUAUAGGCAUUCCUACUGGGCUAGUUUUUGCGUUUGGCCUCCACAUUGGAGGAAAGGUAGCAGCAAGAUCUCCUUAUUGUUUCAUAAUCUUUGAUGGAAAUGCGAUACUAGUCCGUACUAAUCUAAACAUGUUCUUCGCAGGGUCUUUGGAUAGGAAUUGUCCUCGCGGUAUUUGUGCAAGCACUAAGUCUUGCAAUCAUAGUCAUAUGCACAGACUGGGAUAAAGAAGUAAAGUACCUUGUUACCUAGUUUUCAUGUGCCAGCGAUCUGUUUGGUUGUUAGAUUUUUCUCAUUUCCCAGUUUGAUUUCCUUUUGUAGGUGAAGAAAGCUUCUGAUAGGGUGCACAAGGCAAUCAGUGCGGGUGAUGUGUCGUAAAGAUCAUGCUAAGGUCAUGAUCAUAAUUUUGAUCUGGUGACCUAAUUACGAGUCAAUAUUAGAAAAUUUCGAAGAAAAGAAAAAGUUAUUCAAUGCAGAACAUAUUAAUUUGAUCUCCUCCUUUGAGAGACCAGGGCAACAAGCCUUGUACUGGAUUAUUCUCGCCUUUUAUGCCAGUUUCUUCAUGUGAUAUGUUGUUUGAUAUGAGCGUCAGUCAUAUACACACUUUAUGUCUUACCAACUGAUGUGGCAAUGCCAAACUGGGUCUAGAUAUUAUCCCUUUACAUUUCUUAGAGCAUAUAUUAGUUUCAGUUCAAAAUGGCCAUCAGCUGCCUCGUUGGUUUCCUCCCCUUUCUUCCAAGAACACAGUUAAAUCAAGAUCAUGGAAACAAAAUCAAUCAAUGUCAGCAAGCUGGCAAUAUCAGCUUAUCGAUAAAUCUAGAAUCUUUUGACUGUCAUACACAUUCAAAUCAGAGUAUAGGUAUUUGGGGUUGUGUAUCCACCACCACAAUAUGGAGCAAACGCCACACAUUUUGUGUGGCCAAUAGAGGUGUGACAAUUUUCUGUAAAUAUGGCAAAUGAGGUUAUUAGUGAAAAAUGAAGAAAAAUUGCCACAUAUAAGGGAUUCUAUGGGAUUGCCACACGUACCCCUAUUACCCACAUAAGAUGUGUGGCUUUUGCUCCGUAUUAUGACUGUGAUCCUUGUGUUUAAUGGUGGACAUAAAUCCCACUCUUCUCCCUACCUACACUAGCAAUUAUAAUAGACAAGAACCGAUAAGAGUUUAACUGUAGCCUAACAUAUUUUAGAAGUCUCGAUACGAUACAUCCUGACAACCAACCUCAAGAAGAAUCAACCAUGUCUAACACUAUAUACCAAAAUUGUUGGCAUAUAUGCAAAUUCAACCUUGUGAUGUGUAUCAGUGUAUCUAGCUAAUAAAACAUUGAAAUGAAAAAUCAAAAGGGUGGUGAGUAAAAUAGAACUAACUACUCUUUCAAAAACAAUCACUCCAUCUCUCUCGGGGUUGAGUAUCCCCAAACCCUAGGGUUUAGUGACGAGGCGACGGUAAUCUGACUGCGGGAUCUCUAGGGCACACUCACGGUAGCGUAUGGUUCGGGCUUCUCAACGGAUGAGGCUUCUCAAAGCGUCGACAUCGAGGGAGGCUAUGACGGGGGUGAUUUUUGUUUCAACGAAGGCAUAGUUUCAAGGAGUCGACGACGGUUGGUGUGUCGUUCAAACCGGGUGUGUCAAAUUCGAUUGACGGCGGGCUAUUCUAUUCCUUGUUCGACGAUGGCUCAAAGAGAGGCGAUAGAGAAUUGAUUCAAGGUGUUCGGCUGAAUGCAGAUCUGUAGAUUGAGUUUUUUUUUUCCAAAGGCGGCUCGUCUAAGCGGCAACUCUUUUUCUAUUUUAUAGACAAAACCAUGUUUUGGAAGGGCGAAAAACCGCCAAAUUGAAUCGACGGUAGAUGGCAACUCCGGUUAACAUGGCGGCGGCCAUACUUGGGUUGAAAGAGGACGAAUCGGUUGGGCCUCUGGGCCUAACUCUUUGGGCUGCAUCAUUGCGGUUGGGCGUUAAGGUUUUCCUUCUCCUUAGCUAGGCUUGUUGGGGAUGUGGCACUUCUAAUCUAUGUUGUUGUGCGUCAAAACUGGUUCGCCGGUCUGCUAAGUGGAAACGUACAUGAGGUCUUAGCCAUUAUGCUUAUCAGGACAAUUGUUUUUGUCCUACGAUGGUAUAGAUUUAGAGGUUUCUUUUAUUGCUUUUUAGAAUUCAUGUCCAUGUCUUUGGUCAUAGCUUUGCGGUUUUUUUUUUCAAUUCGUAGUUCACAGUUUUUUUUUUUGGAUUAAGUUGAACUUUGUAUGUGAUCAGUAGUGCUUGAAUUACUCAUGCAUUGACCGUUAUGGUCGUUAUUGGCUAUGCCAAUUGGAUCUAUUUCCAUUUCCUUCAAAAAAUAAAAAAAUUAAAGGGGUGGUGAUAAAGUAUAAAGUGUAGAGAAAGAGAGAUAGCAAGAGAAUCAUCAUCUUAUUCAUUGAUUGGAGCCCUUUUAUAUAGGAAAUUACACAAUACCAAUAUGGUAAGGAUAUGAAUACAUAAAUCUAGUCUAACUACAUAUCCUAUUGGCAUAAGGCCAAGGCACACAUAAAGAAUAUCUAGAAAGAUACAAAAUAUCCUAGAACACUCCCCCUUGUGCCGCGCGCUGAUAUGCCGAUGGUGCUGAUCGGUUGCCUCGUCAAAAACCUCGUCAAGUCACAAAAACCCUGUGGGAGAAAAACUGAACCUUGAUCGUAGGAGAAAAAGAGUACAACGCACCCUUCACAUUUGAUAGUGACAUGUAUGUAUGUGCUAGACUCCCCCUGAAGUUCGCACCUCCCCCUGAUCUUUACAUCAAUCAUAGGGCUCUUCCUGAUUCUUACUAAUCAUGGAAAUUUCAACAACUUAGCAUGUCAAUGCUCUUUAACAUGUCUUCAAAUGUGGCAUUAGGCAAUGAUUAACUAAAUCAUGCCGUAUUGUCCUCAAAUGAUCUUUUACACUUAGAUCUUGAGUAGAAGGCCGCUUGUGAACUUAAAACAUAAGUUCGUGCAGGAAAUUAGAUUUCCGCACAGCAUGACCUUCAGUUACUAGAACAGUCGUAACUUCCUCUAUGAAAUACAUAUGAACGAACCGUAAAUGGUUUUGGAAACUAGACUCAUUUAACUGUAUAUUACACACAUUCUGGUUCGUCACGAGCUAUUCACAAAGUCCUGUCGAAGUUGACUGUUUUGCCAAAAUCAGAUUCUCGGACAGAUUCGUCGUACUUUACGAAAACGGCCCUAACUCACUCAAUGUGAUAGGUAUGAUCAAAUGGUUGGUGUCCCUGGAAAGUAGACACAUAGACCUUUCCAAUGGUAAUAAUUUCACCAUUUUCCAGUGAGUGAGAUUUCCUGUAGGUCCCUUGGAAGUUGACCUACGAAACUUGGCAGAUUCUGAUUUCGCUAUUGAUGUGUCUUUCUUAUGUAGGGAUAGAAUAAGCCUCAACCUUUCAUACCAUUAAGUAUUGAAAAAGGAGUUACUAUCAUUACAUUGGCAUUGUGUGGGCACAUAGCUACACUUAGCUUUACAACUUUUCAUAGCGAAUGAGAUGUCAAGUUUUUCGUAUUGUGUUAAGUACAUUGAUGCGUCUAAUUGUACUUAGAUGGGAACUUCAUCUCUUAACACAUAUUUGUCAUCUUGCUUUAGACAAAACAACGGAUCUCUCUUUAGAGUAAAGACUUUGACUAAUCAUGGGAGUGUAUGUAGCCCUCACUUUCGUUAGAGCGCCUAAGCCGAUUGAUGAAAAAUAAUCAUCAAUACAGUCAUCGAGUGUCUUAUCGAGAUCGUGUCUUCCCAAGAUCUUUUUCUUCGGAUGUUGAUACAUAUUGGCAUCUCUUGAUCCAUCAAGAGUCCAUGUAAAUCCGGAAUGAACACGCAAAGGCAUAAUUCACCAUAUCCCUUCCAAAUCAAGUAGAGUCCAUGUGCGUUUCAAUACAUUUAGCAAACGCAUGCUCCUGUGGUUUGGAGUUACUUGAUUUGGAUGAAUGAAGUCCGUUUAAGAGCUUCAUGUAUAUCUCUGAUCCCAUAGAGAUGUUAUUAUGACCACAUUCAUAGGCUGCAUGUUCAGUUAUUCGAAAACUACCAAACUGACAAAGUAGUGAAGUUCAAUGACAUCCAUUACGAGAGCAUAUCUCAUCGUAGUCGAUCCCAGUGCGUGUUAGUGAGAGACCUUGCGUCAUAAGGUGAGUCUAAACUCUUUUUCUCACUACACUAUCUAACAAAGGUAUAGUUGAUAGGGUUUAGUUUGUGGUGUCAGCAUCACCUGCCCAAGGACCUAUCUAUUUGUUAAUGCUGGAUCGCAUCUUUCCAUUAGGGAUAUCAACUAAGUUGAUAUCCAUCAACGAAAGGUGGUUCAAUAGUAGACUCAUUAUCCCACGUCCUCAUGUACACUAGUGUAAUACUUGUAGAGAUCUCUAUAUGGAUUGGAUUUGACAUUGAGGCGUCCCCCAACGAUAAUCACAAUUCAGACUUCAUGAGACGGAUUUGAGUAUCACUGAUCAACGGAUCAGGUUAUGCCAAGCUCACUUUCUUCCUAGUGCGAGAAUAUAUCGAACCUAAGGGCCUCCCUCCUUUUGGGGAGCCACACGGCCUUGUGACACCAAUUUUGCCACUAUAUGGCGUCACUAUAUCACUAUCCAUGGUGAUGGUGUCAAGACCAACACCUUUUGGUCGCGCCAUGUCCUCUUGAUGGGACAUCAAUCCUUGUAGACAUAUUUGCAGCAUGUGAUCUCGUCACUUUAACACUUUAAGCAUUUGGGGAUCAAGAUGAGACUUAGUGGGGACAAACCACAACAAUUCACGUCGUUCCACUUGAACUCUUGUGUUCUUAUCUCCCCCUAACGGCGAGAAUAUUGUCUUAUCAAAGUGACCAUCCGCAAUAUAGCGGUGAAAGAGAUCACUUGGCAAGGUUUCUACAUAUGCGGAUUAUAGGUGGGUUUCUACAUAUGCGGAUUAUAGGUGGAGGUUCACAUCCAACCUAAAUACUUAUUCAUCUCAAAUGACCCAUCAUUGUACGUAGUGGCAAUGCGAUUUGGCACCUAGAAAUAACAUCUAGCCGAGCUCAAGGAUUAGAGAUCCGUUUCAAUCUUGUUUGAGCUCAAGGAUUGCAAUCCUGGUACACAGUCAUGAGCUGUAGUACAAAAAUAUUCAAUGAUGGUGGGUCGUAGAUGAAUAAUAAAGUUGCAUGCAAAUAUUGCAUAGCCCCAAGACGCAAUAGAAAAAUUGGUGCGCAUCAAUAAUAUUCAAACGACAAGCUAAAGUUGCUUAGUCGUAGUCUCGGUGAGACCGUAUUGCUUGUGAACAUGGGGUACAGGACACUUCAACUUACAUCCCGAUAAACUUUUUUAAAGAAUGGGUAGUGAGCCCGUAGAAGUAUAAGUAGCAUAAGCAGUAGAUAAUAGUGUAACACGUGACCAGUGUGCUAACACUUCAACCAACACCAUAAAGCAUAAAAGGUGUCCGCAAGUUGGUUGUAUCUAUCUACAUAGUUUGAUGUAAGAAUAGAAUGUUCACUUUUGUGUCAUUUAGCGUAGGAGGGUCUCACUCCUAAUUUAGCUAAAGAAUAGGCUUUUAAAACGAGGAAUGAGCAUUGUAGGGGGUCAAUGCGACAUCUAGGGAAGGCCGGUGCACCUCAAUUGCUUGAGGAAUUGACCGGACGACCUCCAAGAACUUGGAGUCGUGUUUGGGUGACGUCAAUGUCCCCCGGGUCACCACCAUGCUUCAUGGUGAUGCUAGAUCUCGAAUGUCUUCGUUUUGAGCAGAAGAAUGGAUGUCCAUGAGAAUUUCUCAAAAUUUGGACCAUUAUAUAUAUCUCUUCCAGGUUGACCAAUUUGGUCAAACCAAAGCCUAUAUGAGUCAGUGUCCCAAAUAUCAUGUUUGGCGACAACAUGGGAUUCGAUAUUCCAAUCAUAGUGACAUACAGUCCACUAGAUUGACUCAUGAAUUUCUCCAAGAUGCGCUUCAGUCCGCAUUCAUGAGAAGGUAUACACAAAAGAAUUCUUGUUCAUUCUCACAAUGUAUUUUCGAAUGAAAACUAUUAGCAAGAAUGUCUUUAAAGCUCAAUAUGGUUCGAUUGCCUCUCAAUGCAUAGAGGGUAUCUAUGACAUUGAUCAUGGUGCCAUGAGGCAUCAAGAUUUAAGCUAAACCGCGUCCUUGAAUGACCGGUAUGAUUCAAUCAUUAUAGUCACAGAAGAUUUACAAAGGCACAAAAUCCAAAGAUAGUUGCCGGUUCCUUAGAAUGUUGUGGAUAGUUCCACUAUCUGCGAAGCACUCAAUGUCUCGAUGAGACAUAUCUACAAGAAGGAGUAGAUAUGCUAGUUAAUAGUUCCACUUGAACCAUUUAGAAGGAUUGAAAUAAGCUACGAAAAGCUGCAAUCCCGAGAGUGCAUAAAAAUUUCCGCGCAGAAUGACUUUUGCGCACUAAAACAGCCAUAACUUCCUCGUUAAAAUAGAUAUGGACGAACCGCAAAAAUUUCUAAAAACUAGACUCAUAGAGCUUUCCAAUGAUAUAAAGCUCACUGUCUAGUUCGUCCGGAGCUGUUCACAAAGCUCAAACGAAGUUGACUGUCUAGAAAGGACAGAUUGCUGUUUUUCGCAGAAUUGGCAUGUGCGAAGCUGUGAAGCUUGCAAGUGGCGUGUAGGCUUUUGCCUUAGCCACAAGUGACGUGUGUAUGAUCAAAACCAAGUCCUUUCGGUCAUUCUAAGGUCGUAAACUCCAUGACUAGUUAGCAAAAGCUCCCUGACAUGAACAUAAACUAACUCAGAGGACCUAGAGGAUUAGAUCAUGAUGAUAAUUUUCCGGUUUUUGAUAAGUCUUCAACGUCUUUUGCAAGACGGCAAUUGGUUUAAUAGCAUAGGGGGAUCCAAAAUCAAAAGCUUUCGGUAACUCCAAGUCAAUAUGACCAGGCAUGUCCGUGGAAGGUCGGUAGUGUGAGGCACACUUGAAACCACUAUCUCCUUAAUUUCGGACAAUUCUAAGACAUCACACUGAGCUUGGAUGAGCCUAGUUGAACAAUUGAUGAUGAAAAAUCCGCUAUAGGGUAGAAGACUUAACCGGAAACACGUGGGCGAUCCUCCUUGAAGAUGCGGUGUCAUGAGUCACCUUCAAAGGAAGGGACCAAAAUCGGCACAAUAUGCCAUGUUUCUAAGGACGAUGUAAGAAUGUACAUCUUUUUUGUAAAUCAAUACGAACCAUAAGAGGAGAAUAGUUUCAUAACUUCGAAAAAAUUUUCAAGGCAUUCAUUAUUGCUAACGUGAGUACAUCGAGGUCACAAAUAGACGAAGGACGUCAAUACAACGCCUUAGUACAUAUAGCUUGAAACGAAAAUCAAUGUCUAGCCGAUGACGUCAAAGUCAUGGGUAGCUAGAGCAGGAUCCAAAUCUUUGAAAUUCGCGAUCAUGAGGAUGACGUUCUUGUCCUCAUAUUGAUUUUUCGUACCUUUUUGUAUGCAUUCACAAUUUGAAAGAGCUUGACAAUCUUGAACCAGUGAUCCAAAGAUCCACAACGGUUGCAUUGUCAUGAGCUGGCGUGAGUAGUUUUGACAAAUAUAAUUGGUGUCUAGACUGGGAGUGUCGCCAUUAGGGCCGGCGGCACCUCCCCCUCUUUCUAGACAUCGGCACGGUGUUUUCUACCAUUGUCGUGACCCAUAUGUAGUCAAUUAAGGUGGUAAGCAAUCCACUUGACUAAUAACUCAAUAAAUAGAGUUAUAUGAACGUUUCAAGAAACGCUCCAUGAGUGUAUUCCACAAUACUUUGUGGUCAUUACUUUUUGCACAGAUUGCCAUUGAAGGCUUUUGUCGAUAUGGCGCGUCAAAGACUUUGAGCGCAUGAGAUGUGAAAUCUCGGCAUCUAGGCUUGUUAGCCUGGGGGUCAAAACAUGUGGUUUAAUCCUUUUCAACGAAAGGUUCUAUAGAUACCAAGCGAAGAUUCGCCUUAGGUAUCGAGUACGUCAAAACUCAAUGAGCAGAAUGUUACGUUGCUCUUGCAUACAAAACCAAGUUGUUAUGAGACUCGAUAGAAGUCACAAAUAAUGCUUUUAAUGGUUUGUCCUUCGGAUUGAUCAUAUACAAUCCGGAAAAAGCCGCGAAUUGAUCAAACACAAUUCGGAAAAGGCCUCGGAUUGAUCAAAUACAAUCCGGAGAAAAGUCGAGGUUGAUCAUACACAACCCGGACAAGGAAGCAAGAGUGAUCAAACACACUCUUGACCCGUAAAUAAAAUUCCGGGAUUUUUGGUACCUGCACACACAAAAUCUCAAGCAUAGAAUGGAGAUGGAGAAUGGAGGAAAGGAUUUUAUCCUCCCCGAGUUAUUGAACUUGAAAAAGUUUAAGGUUUCAAAACAUACCUUUCUCGUUUCUUUGGAAGACGAGCAAUCUUGAAAUCUUUGGUUUCUAGAGGCUGCCGAGAGGAGAAACAACAUUUUGCCUAUUUAUACUUCGAAUUUGGAGCUGAAAAUUUGACUGGAGGAGCAUCUCUGGAUGAGGAAGCUGUUGUCAAAAUUUCAGGUUGAUCGGAGCAAGGGAAGGUGGCGAACCGGUGGUCGGUAGCGGCGGCAGUCUGGAAUCUUCCGGAGGCCGGUUCGGAGACUUUCCGGCCGGUUCUCAGGGUGAGGCCGGCGGCGUUGGAUCCGAGGCGAAGAGAGCUUUCUAGGGAUGUAAAAUUCCGGCGGAGGACAUUCGGAAUUUUGGUCGAAAAUCGGGAAAAACAAGGCUGCCCGAUUUUAGGGUUUGGAAAACAAAUGGUGGGCAAUUGGCUCUAGGGUUAGAACAAAGUGCAUGAUAACGUGAUGAAGUAUAAAGUAUAGAGAAAGAGAGAUAGCAAGAGAAUCAUCAUCUUAUUCAUUGAUUGGUGCCCUUUUAUAUAAGAAAUUACACAAUACCAAUAUGGUAAGGAUAUGAAUACAUAGAUCUAGUCUAACUACAUAUCCUAUUGGCAUAAGGCCAAAGCACACAUAAAGAAUAUCUAGAAAGAUACAGAAUAUCCUAGAACAGGUAGUGAGUAAUAGGGGAAAUUAUAAACUGUACCCGGAACACCACAUGACGUUUGGUCCCCUCUAAUACUAUUGGUCUAAAUGUUUUUAUUUUAUUUCUGAUUAGUACCUAUAUUUUUUUUUCUUACCCCACUGUUCCCGGGGGAGGAGAGAGAGAGAGAGAGAUGGGCCUCAGCAGAUUGAUGGUUCCACCUUUCAUUAAUCGUAAGAGCCCAUGUUUAUGAGCAUCAGUUUCAGCGAAAAUCCCCUUUAUGCUGGGCCUAGACAGGUUGGUUGGUCCACCUUUAAAAGAAUAAUAAAAGCCCAUUGGUUUCAAUUGAUGUCUCCCUCAAAUGGAGAAAGCACUGAAAUGUGAAGAAAGGUAGCCAAACGACGAUUCAGCCAGAAAUCACUGUAACAUCUAUAACAAGCCCGAAAGUACACGAAUAAACAGAACCCAAGUAUGUUAUCUUGAAGCUGUUCUUAAUUCAACAAACAGCAAAAGAACAAACUAUUUGAUUACAACUUUACAAGCAUAUAUAUCAGAGAGUUGCAAAUGAUCAUCAGUGAAGAACAAUGGUUUCGAAACAGUGCACUCCAUCCAGCUCCAGCGCAAACCUGGGUGAUUGUACCCUUCUCAUCUCUUGCUGCUGCUUCUGUUCACUAUUACCCGCCAUCGACGAUGAAGAAGCUUUUACAUUUUCACCGGCAACCUGGGAUUUCUCGUUGCCGUUAUUGAUGAAGUUCAAGCUCAGCUUGUGGGAGGAGAACAUCGUUUCUGGUAAAGGGAAUAGGCUCUUUGCUGCUGGCUUCGGAGUUAGAUGGGGCAACGAGAAGAGGUAUUUAAAGAAACAGAUGAUUGGAUUGGACUGAUAUCUGCGCGACGAAAAAGUUUGGUCUAUCUAACACUGAAUAGAUGCGUGGAUGGCUUUAAACUACUAAAUUAGGCUCUUACCCGUCGGAGAGUUUGUGAGGCUUCUAAUUCUACGAGCUUCUAAUAUCGAUAUGAUAGAAAUUAUUAACUCAGUCAAGUGUCUUGUAGAUUCUAGAAUCAAGAAUGCAGUACCUUGGUGGAGUGGGAUAUUGAUCACCAUCAGAUUAGGUAAAUGAGGGAGAAACCUGAUAACAUUUCGGCAUAAGUUUGCAGUACUUAACAUCAACAAAAUGGACCACAACAAGAGUCCAUUAUGCAGAAAUUGUAUCAGCAAACAAUCAGAUAAAUGCCAUGACAGAUGACUAAAGAUGGAUAACAAAAGGAGCUCUGCAUGGUGAAAACCAGAACCAAACCACAAAUUACAAUGCUUCCAAGGGAAGAUGCAAUGAAAUAGGUUGAUUCAGCAUAUAAAACUACUUGCAAACCAAAAACCACACUCAUCACAGAUAAUUAAAGAUAGGUAAUCACUUUUAGAAAUUUCACAAUAGUCAACGAGUUAAAUGAGAUAGAUGUACCACGUGAUAGGCAAAAUAGUAACGUUGCAAGCAGUAAUUAAGAUCAAUAGGUCCUAGAAUUGGCUGAAACCAAGAUGACAACCAGUAUGACCGUCUAUGUUUAUUUUGUACGAUCUUCUAGUCAAACAAGCUGAUACCCAUGUCAUCAUCACUUUCUUCCUCUGGUUCAGGCUGCAUAAACAGCAAACAGAAGUUUAAAUAAAAAGCUGAAUGAAGAUGAACAAUGACCAAGCAUCAAUGCAACAGGGUAUACAUAUAACAAUAAACUUGAAAUUCAAGUUGUACACUAAUCAUAACUCAAAUUCAUAACCACAGAUUCUGUAAUAGAGCAACAAAUAAAAUAGCAAGAAAAAGGCGUAACAAACACACAAUUAAAACACAAGCAGAGAGCUAUAAACACAUUCUCACCUUCUUCUCCUCAGCAGCAGGAGCAGCAGCAGUGGCGGCGGCGGCGGCCGGAGCAGCCAUACCAACAGGAGCCGCAGCGCCACCACCACAUCCAACAUUCAUGGUGAGUUCACCGAGAUCCUUCUUCUCUGCAAGCUUGGCAAAGAGGUUGGGCCAGAAUGCUUCCACGUUCACAUUUGCAGAUUUGAGCAAAGUAGCAAUCUUCUCAGCCUAUAUAGAAAAUGCCACAUCAAAUUCAAUUCAGGUACAAAAUUAACAGGACAAACAUCAAUCUACAAACUACUAACACGGCGAUACGUCGAGUCUACACUAUCUUAUUCCCAACGCAUAAUUGAGAAAUGAGGUUAACAAUUAGGGUUUACAAGUGCCAAAUCAUGUCGAAACUUCCUCCUAAAAUCAAUAAUUCACUGGAUUGUGCAAAAUUGGGUUAGGGUUAGGGUUCUUACAGUGAUUGGGAUGCCGUCAUCAUGAAGAAUCAUGGCGGCGUAGGAGCAAGCAAUUUCACCGGUCGACAUUGUUUCGCAAGAGCUUGGAUUUGAAUCUGAAACGAUCAAAAUCGAAAUCGAAAUUAUAGAACCGAAAAACGAUUAAGAAAGCAGAGAAGGAAAAUGAGAGAGAGAAAGAGAGGGACGAACCUACAAGAGAGAAGGAAAGCGAGAAAUGAGGCGCAGCGUUGUAACCGUUUUGUAAAUGAGGAGCUUAUAUAGAGGUUGAGGGAGGUAGGGUUUUUUAUUAGGAAUGCCACGUCAGGUUGUCGGUUUGUCAAUUGGGCUGGCCCAAUAGGUGAUCAACUGGUCACUUGGGCUUAAGUUUAGGGAGCCAACUACUAGCCCAAUUCUUACUUGCUAAACAAAAAUGAAAAAGAAAAUUGUAGGGGUUCAAACUUGUACUCCCAGUACUUCCCAUCAUUUAACAUAGGAGAAUGUCAUUUGAUAAUCAAUUAGGGUCUACAUUAUUGUGUUUCUCAUGGUUCAAAUGAUCAGUACAAUGGUCUUUGAAUAAGUUAGCUGCAGUAAAGGAGGACUUUUGGAUUCUUUGUUGCCUCUUAACAGAUUAGAAAGAGGAUCCCUGUUUAUUAACAAGGUACCAAAAUGAAGUCUGAAACUUUCUACAGACAAGAAACUUUCUACUGACAAAAACGUAGGACGCAUUGAGUAGCAAAUUGGCGACCUGCUAUUUUAUUCAAUCCACAACAUAGUCGCUACUUCACAUAGUCACAAAAUGAGGUCCAAGGUUAUAAACUGCUUAAUAAAGCAUAGUCGCUACUUCACAUUAUGUCCGACCAAUAGCACUUGUUGAUUCAAGUAGAUACUCAAACACGUCCACACAAAAACAAAAUUUACCCAUACAAGUUCACACUAAAAUCACUAGCAUUAUCAUUCUUUUCUGGACUAAUAAAAGCCACACAGCCAGCCAUAAUCCGAAACAAUGAAGUUCGAAGCAAAAAUAACAUUCUCAACCAGUCUGCCGAGAUAUAAGAAUCACUGCACCUUAACCCAUACAUAAGGAUAUGGCUUGCCAAGAGGAUCAAGCACUACCUGACUGCGCCUGCAAUAUAUCAAUCUCAAGUUAGCAAAAUGAAACAAGUCUUAAAUUUCAAAAAUGCCAAGGUUUUCUAACUCAAAAAGGGGCAAAACUUACAGCUAUUAUCUAUUUAAUCCAACCAUCUAUGGAGCCAAGAUUAAACUCCAGUCCAACUAAGCAUAUCAGAUUAUUUCCAAAAAUAUAAGAGUUUGAAUGCUGUAGGUCCUUCGUUUUAAUUCCAUCCAUAACCAAAAAAUAAUCUUCCAUUUUGAGAUUACUAGUGCAUAUUAUAUGCCCCACGUAAACUUGUAUACUACAAGAAUAAACUUACCGGGCGGGGCGAUCCUGACCUUGAUCUCGAUCUUGUUCUUGGCCUGCAGCACAUGGAAAGUUAAUAAAAACAAGAUAUUAGACAUCAUACAAAUAAACAAAAAAAACAUUGUAAGAUUAUUUAUAAAACCAAAUACCUGGAAGGUUUGACCGGAGAUGCAGACCUAGAUCUUGAUACUGAUCUAGAAACAGAUCGCCCCAAAGAAUUGCUGCAUAAUACAGAAUGAAUCACAAGAUGUAAAAAGAGAAAGUAAUCAUAAAUUAAUACGAGAAAUAGUAGAUAAGUUUGCGUACUAGAGCUCAAUACCUCCUAUCCCUUCUUACACUUCGGCUUCUGCUACGGCUUCUGCUCCGACUCCUAGAGGGACUGCUGCGUUCAUACACUUUAACCUGCCAGUUGGUACACAAACAAUCGCCAGAACAACUUUGUGAGACAAACCUAAAUUCAGUUGUCCAACCCCAUUACUGAAACAUAGAUGAAAUACCCCCUAUAGACUGAGAAGUACAAUUCUACAGGUUUCAAUCAGGAAUGGAACAAGAAACUCAGAGUACCCACACCAUCAACAUCAAACUUAACAGCAACAUAUUGCAAGAUCCAUAGUAAACAAAAAUCAUUUGGAAAAUGAUAUUUAUACAUCAUUUAGGAAACGUGCAAACAUCUAGAUAAAAUAAAGCACACCCUAGCAACUUUGACAAAGAUAAAGAUUUACCCGAAUAUAGGAUCUUGCCCAAGGAUUUUUAAAUUCAGUAUCAGUAAGUUCCCGAACCUGAAAAAGGAACAAAAAAAAAAAGUUACUAUGUAGCAAGUGAAUAAGUGUGGAGCUUAAAAGAGGGCAAAAGGUCUUGUAGUUAAACUUACAGCAUAUUUCAUGUCAUCAUAAUUGUUAUAAUCAACCAAGCCAUAAGUCCCUGAACACAAAGCAGAAAAUCCAAGUGUUAAGCAGAUAAAAAUUUCAAAGCAUAUAAAAUUAGGAUAACCAUUAAUUCCAUGCUAGUGUCUUUUCAAAAAAUCUCAAGUACACGACAACUCUAAAGCUUUUCUAGAUUGUGAUGGCAUGGGGAGAGUCAAGAACUUAUUUGGUACUAACUAUAAUAUUGUUGGCCUACAUAACCAUUUUUAUUUAAGAAAAUUAAAAACAAAUUUACAUUGAAGCUGAUAAAAAGAAACGAAUAAUUGCAUUAAAAAAAACUCUGAGUAGGAAGCAGUAUUAGGCACAACGACUUGCACUUCCCUAAUAAGAGGAUCUUGAACAACAAUAUCAACAAUAUCUGACUCUGACACUCAAGUGAGAAGAUUAUCAAUUACAAAAAAUCUGAAGUAAAACCUAUACCUUCACUGUCACGGCAAACCUCAGCAAAACACACAUCACCAGCUUUUCGCAUAUGAUCCUGAAAUCAACACCCAGCAAGAUUACGAGUAGAAUACUAAACAAAUGGGGCACACACAAGUUUGCGAGAAGACAUAACCAAACCUUCAAAUCUUGCCAUGAAGCAGAAGACGGGAGCCCACGAACAAUAACUGGACCGAAUGCCAAUGUGCAUCAAUCAGUAAAAAAACUAAACAUGAGUGAAUUUUUAAUGGAAAGCAUUUGAAAAACAUAUCUCGGAUUUAUAUUCAACUAAGGCAUGUCCUAGAAGUAGGACUCACCUCGGAAUUCAGAAUGACGUGAGACACCAAAUCGACCCCCACCCCCACCCCCACCGCGGCCUCCUCUGCUACUGCCUCCACCAUAUCCACCACGACGAUCACUAGGUGGUGGGCCCCUGCUACCACCAUGGGCAAGCUCAACCUGUAUUGCGGACAAACAUAAAAAUGAAUAAACCACGGAAAAACCACAAUACAACAUAGAAAAAUAACAAUAAUUUAUAAUCAGAAGUACAACAGGAACUUUUUAGUACCCUUAAACGACAACCAUCAAAGUCAUACCCAUCACGACCCCUAAUUGCAUCUUCUGCAUCGCGAGAACUCUCAAACUGAAAUCCAAAUAUAUAAUCCAUUAGAGAACUAAAAGGGUUCAUUCAAAUACAUCCAGAGGACAAAGCACGAUAACCACCUCAACAAAACUAUAGCAUGGAGGGCGAGGUGGGAUCUUCAAUUCAAUAUCCAAAAUGCGGCCAUACUGCAGAGGAAAAUCAAGUUUAGAAUACCACCAGACAGAAAUAAGACAAUAUCAUAUCAGAUAAGUCUCAAAGUGUUUUACACACAGAAAAAAAAAAAAAAAAAAAAAAAAAGUUAACUUAUCUAAUAAGUGCUAUAGAACUCUCUCAUACAUGUUUCUAACAGAUAAUAUCAUAGACCAAAAGGCUGUUGCGUCAAGGAAAAACACUGCAUAACACGUGCAAAACUAAGCUCGUGCUCGUUCCGUAAUUCAAGCAUGGAAAUUGAGCUGUGCAAUUGCUCAUAGAAUAAUGCCUCACGUGUAGAAUCAGAUUUACUUCCACAGAGAAGUCAUAAGUUAUGCUUCUACUGACAUACCAAAACACAGGGUGUAACAAAAAUCGAUACGUAUAAAUGAAGCUAGAAUACAAACAAGCAAUAUCUAGUAAAUAAUUCGGUGACAACCUUGUAGAAUAAAUCUUCAACCUCCCGUUCUCUUAUAUCUGACGGUAGGUUGCCGACAUAGAUUGUGCGAGAAAAUCGUCCACUCAUAUUUGAUACCAAAAUAUUGGCUAAUGCAAAUUUUCUGCAAUCAAAACAUACUUCAUGUGAAUUUUGCAUCCAAUAGUUUGUAAAAAAAAAAAAAGUGCUAGUUCGGUAUUAUCAUCAUCAUGUACUCUGUUGUCAAUAAAGAAUAAAGAGAAGCAAAACCAAACAAUGAAGCAAACCAAGAGAGCAAUCCUCGAGGUGAGCCGUGCUCCACAAGCUCCAUUGCUAAUUUGCUCCAAGAUGCUCCAAAGCAAUAUAUAUAUUGAAUUAAAAUUUGAACUCCUCAUCCUCUCCCGAAUUUUAGCAGAUGUAUAGCUCUUCGGAGAGUGAGCAAGAAUCUCCAAUAACAAAAAAUAUAUACUCAUAACUCCAAAAUGAUUCUCCCACUCCCUCUCUAAAUCCCUAUGUAUGAUUGCAAAGCUCAUAUUUGUCCAAGCGCUUGGUAUCUAUCAUAAACAAAGCAUCUGUGUCACGAGAUCAGGCAAGAUUGGCAUGUAUUUAUGUAUUUACCUCAUUUAGCUCUCUUAGGAGCAUCCGAAAACAGAAACAAAGAAAACCAGAACCCUAGAAAAAACGAUUUAAAUUCCUCGAUUCCUGAUCACCCUCUCCUAAAUUACACAUAGUUAAAACGUCUUUCUUGCACACAUAGCUGAUCUUUUAAGCAUCAAUAUAUUGAAAGAAAACAAAUCCAAUGCCAAAAUGCAUUGCCCUAACUGUGGAAUCCAACGAAAACACUCCAAGAUAAUCAAAGGCCGAAUUCUAUCACCAAUCAGACCUAAAUUCACCAAAUACUCUCUAAGAAUUCACCAGCGUCUAAAAACCCUAGCCAGAAACGAAGCAAAAUAAAAACGCUAAACAGGUUAAUGCGAGGAAAUUGAAGAGGGGAAGAGGACGAAUAUCAAACCGGAAACGAAUCGGAGAAGCUUCGGAGCUGCUUAAGUACGCGGUUCUGAGCCUGAGCCGUUCGCGCUUGAACUUCGAAACGCCGACGAGAGAGAGAGAGAGCUAGGGCGAACGGGCAAUACUGAUAUAAAAAAGUAAAAGAGUUAAUUCUGGACCUGUUACGGCACGCUAGUUUGGGCUUUAAUAGGCCCAUAUAUCCGAGUCCAAACAUUUACUGAUCACAUAGGGCCCGAAAUGUAGGUUGGGCUGGCCGACCACAUGAGAGGCGAAAUCUUCAAACAGUUGGAGAAAGAGAGCAUCUUCAGUAUACGGCGUAUAUCUUCACAUACAUAUAUGGAUGGUCAUGAUUAGAGAAAAUAAUAUAGAAACAUGAUGAUCAAACAUAUGAAUUGUUAUGAACGAUUAAUAUUGCAUCGUGUAAAUACACGUCGUGCAUACAAUAAUUGCCAUUAAAAUUUCAUGUUCGGAAAGUUGUAUUAAACACCUUUAAUUCGUGAUAAAAAAAAAAAUCAAACGCUUAUAUAUGUUAAUAUGUGUGUGUCUGUUCCUUCUUCUUCUUCUUCUUCUUCUUUUUUCUCCGGUCAUGUUCUUCAACAGUUUAACACAACCGUGAUUAACUACUGCACCAUAGUUAGAGAAUUGAGUAUUCACGCAUCCGUCCUUGUUACCUAAUUAUCUCGUCAAUUCAAAGCAAUAGUUCCAUUUGGCUUCUCAUUCUUCUUCAACCGCUCCAUUAAGUCUUGGGAAUUAGGCUUUUCAAAGUUUCUGACUUUGGAACUUCAUUCCUGUGUGUUGACCAUCUGAACAGAAACAGCCCCUCCUUUUCAAUAUUCCAAAUUGAUCAAGUUGGUGUGUUGCUCACUUUCAAGACCAUCCACGACGUCGUGUUCGUGUUUUUGUUCAUAAACCCAACCACACGUGUGCUGAUUGAGUCGUGAUGGGAAGGUUCUCCAAUGAGAUGAAUCAUAUUUGUAUUGUAAGGAAAAGCUUAAUACUGCCUUCUGUAAUUGCUUGCUUGUAUUAGGAAAUAGGAUUCCCGAUGGGAAUGGCUGUGACCCGGCAUAAUGUUAGAACAAGUCACAUCAUCUACCAUUCCACCGUACCCAAAUAAAAGACAUAUGUAGACAGUUGUAUAUAGACUUUUCUACUAUACAUAUGUGUAUGACAUACAUUAUGCCGUGAGCCGUCCGACUGUUUUGUUAUUCAAGACGGUUGGACGGCUCACGGCUUAAUGUAUGUCAUACAAAUAUGUAUAGCGGCCGAACCUAUUGUAUAUUACAUAUGUUGUAUUUGUGUUUUAACGAAAAUCAAUUAUAAUAUGUUGCAUUGAUGUAAACAUUUCUUUCAGGUGUUCGAAAUAAUCUAGAAGAAUGAAAAUAUUUGAAGUUAGAGCCCUAGCAACGCCAAACUAUUUACAAUCCUUUUCCCCCCACUGUAGACGAAUCAGGGACAAGACCGAGUUGUUUAUUUCCCUACACCAAUGGUUGCCGACCAUAGCAUUAUACAAUACAUAAACACAAAGAGUAUAAUAACUCGAUGGUUGCAUUGUUUCACCAAUAAGUAAUGAGUUUAGUGAUUAAAUGAUUGCUUUGGAGUAGUUAAGUAUGAAAUCAAAUACAAUAACGAUGGAUUAUGUAAGCAAUGUAUUGGAACCUUUAUUGAAAUUGUAUUGAAAUACGUUGCUUUGGAAAAUGAACAGGGAUAGCGAUCGAAAUAUACAGAGUUCAAGUUGGGAGAUUUAUACAGUUGUAUGGUGGAACAUGAUAUCGAUGUGAUUCCCUUCUCAGAGAUGUGACAACACGGCCAUACGAAAACUAACAAUACGAAACAACAAGAUAAGAUUGUUGUUCGAUGACAUGAUUAGUUGCUUGUCUUUCCACUAUACAUUUUAUGCAUACACGACAUGAGUACGUUUUAGCUUUUGAUACAAAACUUGCUUAUUAAUUUGUUAUAUAUGCGUGUGACGCGAUAAAAACUAAACAAACAGUACGAAAUAAGAUAACUUCAUUAUGAGAAUAAAAGCAAGAGAGUACUCUACAUUGGUGCGGUUAAGAAAGAUAUCACACACGUACUUGAUCGACUCCAAUAAAAGAGUAAGUUAUUGUUAGUAUGAUUCAUGUUUCUCUGUAAGGGCUCUUGUUCAAAUAGUUUAAUAUAUAAUAGUCUAAAAGCGUUACAUUGUUUGUAUUUGUAUAAUGACAACCGUUAAACAAAGAAAGUAACGUAAACAUUUAUUAAGUGAAAAUUUGUUCCGCUCACUAUAUACAAGUAACAUGAACCGUUAUGUAAUUUCCGAUAACAAAAAAAUUAUUAAUUCGAACAAACCAGCUGGAUUUAUUUAAACUACAACACAAAGUUAACUUAAGUAUACUAAAAAAAGACUACAAAAUUUCGCUUCCAUUGUCAACUUCUAAUUGUCAAGCAUAUGAUGAUAUGAUAUAGGAAUAACAACUUUGAGUAACAUUGUAUAAACUAUAAACUAUAAAGCUCUGCCAACUACGUACUGCCCCCAUCUCAAAAUGUCCGUAUCUCUUUCUUUUUCAAAUCAAAUUAAAGACUUUAUCUUCAACAAUUUGCAAGAAGAUAAAAAGGAAACAAUUGAAGAGAAUAUCUCGCCCUACUAAUUAGAAUUGAUACUCUGUUUAUUCCAUUAAAUACCAAGCAAAUUAGGAUAUAACUCACUACCAAAUUGAAGAAAAUAGCAUCAAGUAUAUCCAAAUACAUUAAAUUUAUUUCCAUGUUCGACAAUAUCUACAAUAUACCUUUCAUAAAUUCAAUCCCAUGCGUUUAUGUAGGUCACAAAUGCAUUACGCAUGUCAAAAUACAAAAUAAAAAUCUUGAUCAUCACAAAACACAUGUUGUAUUGCCAAAUUAAAAAAUCCAAAUCCCACAAAAAAAAAGGUUCUAUAGGGGUGGGUAUAGGGGUGGGUUGGUAGGUCUUCCCCUUCCAAAUCAUCAGAGCAACAAAAACAUAUCAUCAACAUCAGCAUUUUGCUACGUAGUGAAAGAAGAGAAGGUCCAAAAAGGCAGUCCCUGCGUAAUCGGACGAUCCCAAGCACAAAAAACACAUACCCUUUUCCUCUCUCUCUAUCAUCAUCAGUGAGUAUAUAUAUUUAUUCUUUGGAAUAAAUACUAUAUAUUUGUUAAUUAAAAAGAAUAAAGAUCUGUGCUUUGUGCUUUGUUUUACCAAAUUUUCCCUUAUCAAAAAUUGCAGUCUUUGCAGACCCUUUUUUUUCUGCUUUGCCUUUCUCUCAAUUCUGUUAUACUAAAGCGAUCUUGAGGUGGGCUUUGUUCAUUUCAAUGGAGCUGAUGCUCUAGACAAGCCUCUAUCUCUCUCUCUUUCUUUCUCUGUUUCUGGUAAAGCCACCAAUAAAAAUGAUCUUUUUUUUUUUUUUUGUGUGUGAAUUUGAAAGAAGAUCAUCAUCUAGUUUAGUAUUGAAUGUUUCUGAAUUCUGAUCAGAUGGUCGUGUUUUGCAGGUGAUUUUGGUCAUAAAGUUUCGAACUUUACAGUGUUUUGGAUCAGAAAAUAAAGAUGGCUGUUGCUGAGAAUGCACCCAGUUUUGAUAACUCAUCGGAGUCCAAUGCUCACAACGAUCUUGAAAACCCAAAACCCAAAAUGGACUCGUCUGCUGUGGUGAGUGUGGACCCCAAUUUACAGUCCAACGGUGGUGACGGUGGUGAUCAGAGUCCUGAGCUGGAUGAGAGGCAGGAGGAGGAGGAGGAGGGUUUGACAGUGCCCAAAAGCAACCACAAGGCUCAAAUGGGCCAGAUGCAAAAUGGGUUCGAGUCCAAUGGGGUGGCUGAUGAGCAUCAGAUGGUCAAGUCUGGUGGGUAUGGGACUGAUCAGAGCUCUAAUGGGCAUGAGAAUUUCAAGAAGGAUAUGAGGGAUUUGGAGGAGUUGUUGUCCAAGUUGAAUCCCAUGGCUCAGGAAUUCAUACCUCUGAGCCUUGCCAACAACAACCAGGGCUUUGCUCUUCCUGGUGGAUUUGGCUAUACUAACAAUCUGUUGCUGCAAACCAAUUCCGGCAAUGGGAAUGGAUUCAUGGGCAAAAGGGUACGUGUGGAUUUUCAAUUUCGUCUGUAAAGUUUUUUCUUUUUUUAGAGUAUUUGGUGAUCAUAAAUUUGAGCUAUUUUUGCAGCUGGUUUUUGUUGUUUUAUGAUGGAAAUACAUAUGAGCUUUUCUUUUGUGUACAUUUUCAUGAGGAAGCGGAUAGCUAAUUGAGUUUUGUUUUUUAUUUCAGCAGAAGAAGAAUGGCUAUAGUAAUCAAGCCAGGAGAAGGAACUAUUACAAACUGAGUUUGGCACAGCGAGAGGAGAUGAUUAGGAGGACUGUAUAUGUUUCUGACAUUGACCAACAGGUAAGUGUGUAGUGUGGUGGUUUGUUUUAGACUUUUAGGUUGUAGGCUUGCUCUUUGCUUUUGCCUUUGCAUUUAACAUUUGUCCUUGUACAAUUGCCACUCUCUGUUCUGCAUUAUCAGGUCACUGAAGAGAACCUAGCUGCUCUGUUUAUUAAUUGCGGACAGGUAAGCAGUGUUCAUACUUUCCUCGUAUGAUAUUGUUCAUUAUAGAUGGUGCCAUAAUGGUGGAUUAUCUUCUAAUGAUUUUUCUGUCUGCUUUUAAAGGUCGUAGACUGUCGUGUGUGCGGUGAUCCUAAUUCUGUUCUUCGAUUUGCCUUUAUUGAGUUUACAGAUGAAGGUAUUAUCAAAAGCUAUCAUACUUCAACUAGAUAUGGAGGAUUCUUUGUUUUGUAAUGAUAAAUUGUUAAGUCAACCAAUUUCUGAUGCUUGCAGAAGGUGCAAUGGCUGCUUUGAGUCUGUCAGGAACCAUGCUUGGCUAUUAUCCUGUAAGAGUGCUGCCUUCCAAAACUGCAAUUGCACCUGUUAACCCAACAUUUUUACCCAGGGUGAGCUCUAUAUGAGACUUUUUCCUAUUUGUGAUUGGCACACACAGACACACAUAUAUCUAUCUAGAACUAAUAAUUAUGUGUGAUUCAUUUAUUCCUAUGCUGAUUUAUAUUCUUUUAUGUGUUGCUUGGAUUUCGUUGGUGUUAAUCAAUUCAGUCGGAUGAUGAACGUGAGAUGUGCUCAAGAACUAUUUAUUGUACCAAUAUUGACAAGAAGGUAGCGUUCAACUUUGAAUCCGGUUUAGGUGGUUUCAGUCCAGAACCGGUGCAGCUGUCUUACUAAGUUGUUCACUUGAUGCAGGUUACUCAAGCAGAUGUCAAAAUGUUUUUCGAAUCACUCUGUGGAGAGGUUCGUAUAUCUAUCUGUGAUUAUUUCUGCUAGUCUUGUAAUACUAUCUUAUGAACUUCCUACAAUAUGUUUUUCUUUGGAUUGCAAAAGAUUUCUGGUUAGAUUGUAAGCUAAGACAAUCUUCUUCCUGGAUUGAUAGGUUCAACGCCUGAGGCUCCUUGGAGACUAUCAUCAUUCCACUCGCAUUUGUUUUGUUGAGUUCACAGUGGUAAUGACAUAAUGACUUUUGAUAGACAUGCUGAAGUUUUUGUACUUUACUGUAUUGUGCUCUCUUUAUGUGUUUUUCCCCGCCUUUCUCUAGAUCUAUUUGACAAUUCAUGAUGACAAAGUUAAGUGAUUUCGUCCAAAUACUCUAUUGUGCCUUUCUCUAGGUCUAUGUUUAAACACUAUAAUUGCAUGACUUGCUAUUCUAGAGUGAUCCAUGCUGGUCGUACUUGCCAAUGAUCACAAAGUUUCGAACAUCAAAGAUGUUGGUUUUGGAUCCAGGAGAUUGUAGAGUUAGGGAAGGUCUUUGGUAGUGUCUAACUUGGUGCGCACUAAAGAGUCAGCUGCCUUGGUUUUAUGUAUCAAUUCUGAAAUGCCAUUGUGGGUACACUGUUGAUGGGCAAAAAGCUUAACCAUUGCUCUAUUAACCCCGCUGUUGACUAAUGGUCAUUCUUGUCAGGAUGUAGUUCCUUGUAAAAAAUUGUAUAGGCUGAAUUAACUGCUUUUUGGAUAGACAACCCCAAGUUUAGCUUAUAUCAUACAUAAGAGUUGACUAGAAAGGUAUAGGAGACUGCCCCUUGAACUUCCUUUAUAGGAUACUCUGGUUGGUAGUAGACCUCAAUAUUCAAUGUGCAGAGGCAGAUAGAUGGAUAGGAGAUCUUUACCUGCAUAAUCUUGUAUGUGCAAGCAUGCUGUAGGUUUUGGUUAGUAAUUAUUGAGAAAACACUUGUGCAAAUCAUUCAUUCUUUGUUAAGACUGAACAUCUCAUCAACAACUAUUUCAUUCGCUAUUCUUUCAACAAGUAAUUUUUCUUUCUCUGUUUUUAUUUGUAUUUUAUGUCAGUGAUUAGAUCAAAAGUAGUCUGCUGUUAGUCUUCUGGUCCUUAUUCUUUCUCUUCACAUGUGCAGGCUGAAAGUGCAAUUGCAGCUCUUAAUUGUAGUGGUGUAGUUUUGGGAUCAUUGCCUAUAAGGUUAGUAAUGCGUAGCUUAAGUUCUAUUCUCCGCCUGCCCUCCUUGUAGGAGCAACUUAGUUUGGAACUCUUGUUCAUUGUUUAUGUUAUGUAUGCAGGGUCAGCCCGUCAAAGACACCUGUGCGCCCCCGUGCUCCUCUUCGCUCUCCAUCACAGUAGACCUGCCUAUUGUUGCUGGACUAAUUUCCUGCUGAUAGAUAUAUUUUUAUAUGCAUACAUAGAUACAGAUAUGUUCACGUAUUUGUGUUUAUCUAUGCUUUUGUUCUUCUGGUUGCUGUUGGGUACCUUUGUUACCUACAACUACUAGAGGUUACUUGUGGAUUAUUUUGGUUUGUAGAGUUGGAUGGAAUUCUGAGGCGCUGAAUGGUUUAUUUAUCUUGCACAUUAUGAUGAAAUCUGGAGGAAUGGUGCCCGAAAUCUUUGCCUUUUAAUGUUUCUCAUGACCAGAAACUGAAAAUAUUUUGUUAUUGGUCAGAAUCUUUUCUUAGCUGUUUAGCCUGUUUUACUCUGCUUUUGUCUUAUUCUUUUCACACCGCUGGUUCUGUAUUUCAACACAGUUGGGAAAAUCUGCAGACAUUACAUUGUAAAAAACCUAAAUCUUGACUUGAUCUUGAAGAUGAACGCAGUGGCCUGCUUUCCUAAUCAGGGUUUUUUUUUUUAGUAAUGUUUUCCUAAUCAGGGAUCUUGGUUUCAUAACUGUCCUAGUUCUGUCCCUUAAUAAUUUAAUCUUAUAUUAUUAAGCUUUCCUAAUCCAUUAAGAGAUUUUGCCCUGUUCCUGGAGUGCUAGGGAGUAAUGUGAUAGUCUAAUCACUAUAUGUAACACUGCUCUCCUCAUCAAUCUGUUACGAAAUCUUUUCCAAGCCUAGAUAGUUCCUGUUUGUUUUGCCGGUAGCUAAUUGAAGAUCAACAGAGAUGGGUUGUUUUGUUGAUCUGUUAUUGCGUUGCUUCGGUGGAUGCUUUGGAAUUGAACAUCAUGACCGGAGGCGGAGCCCCAAAGUCUCUCCGGAGCCAGAGGCAGAGGCUUUAGAGAAGAAGAAAAUUGCAAAGCAACUUGGCCGUCCUGAUCUUGCUCGCAUUGAGACCAAUCUUUACGAAGAUGUUAUAUUGAACUGUCAAGCUGUUAUGAACCCUGGCGACAUUCAAGUGGAAUGUGAUUCUCACCUCGAUAAUGUGACGAAGCAAUCCUUGUUUGAUCAACUUAUCGUUCCACUAUGGAGGCCUGAGCUGUUUCUUAACGGCAGCAAGCUGCUGGCUGGUCCACGGAGAGGAGUCGUGCUCCAUGGACCACCGCCGAGUAAUACUGGCAAAGCAACAUUGCUUGCUACUGCCAAGUUCAUAGCAAAAGAUUCUGGCGCCGUCUUCAUCAGUGCAAGGAAAAUAGCGAAUCUGAUCACCAGUAGUUUCAGCGAUUAUGAUGCUACAAAGAAACGGCAAUUUAUCAGUGCUGUGUUUAGCUUAGCUUCUAAACUCCAGCCUGCUGUCAUAUAUAUCAACGACAUGGAUGGUUUCUUGGGGCAACUCUCCCAAACUAACAUGAAGACUGAGUUCUUGGAAAUAUUGGAUGGUUUUUUUACUGACCAGAAGCAUGAGCAUGCUCAAGUAUUGGUUCUAGCUGCUACUAGUAAAUGUAAUCGUGCAUCACCGGAGCUUGAUGAAGUAAUAAAACGGCAUUUUCAGGUCUUUGAGAUUCGGGUGCCAUGGAUGAAGGAGAGGGCAGAGAUACUGAAGUUGAUUAUGAAGGGUGAGAGAGUUGAAGAAAAUAUUGAUUAUGACCACGUAGCUGCAUUGACUGACGGUUACGAAGCUUCAGAUCUAUACCAACUUUGCAAGAAAGCAGCGUACAAUCCUAUCAGAGAUUAUCUACAAUAUGAAGAAAAGAGUGGAAUUAAGCAAUCUUCUCCACCAAGGCUAAUGUCACAGUUGGAUUUAGAGAAUGUGGUGAUUGCACAACUUAUUCCAUACUUGAACAAGUUGUUACAGCAAGCGACGAUUAUACUGGAUCAAACUCACAAUGAGAAACACCAUCACCAGCUGAAACAGAUACUGAGCUCUUUAGGAUUUAGUUACAGAGGUAAAGAUGACAGCAAUGUGAUGGAGAAGAGAGACGGAAAGGCUGUAAAUGACAUAUGCAAGAACGCGAAAAGAGGGAAGCAUAGAGUUGAUUCAGUAGGACAAACUACUCGCACCAAAUGACAAUGAAUGAAGCGACACAAAACCUAAUCGAUGGACGUAUGGCCGUUGGCCUCACACCAUGUAUAGGCAUAGAAUUUAUAGUUGGUGAAUGAAUUUAUGGUAGUCUGAGAGUGUGGAGGCUUAGAGAAACUUCGGUAUACGACUUGAGUCUGUAACAUUAUGUCUGUGAAUGCUCAUCAUUAGUUACACAUAAUUUGUGUGUUUGUGUGUGUAGCUUCAGUUGUUUAACUUGAGAACUAGAGGAUUUACUGAGAAACUAAUGUAUUUCACUCUGGUGAUGAAACUACAACAUCAAAUUAUCUUUCAUUAUGAAGUUUCACAUUUUCAGGGAUCCGAUGAGUGUAACACUCUGAUAACCUUCUUUUGUUCACAUGAUAAGUUCAUCAACAUCAUUAAGAAAGUGGGAAUUGGGUUUUCAUCGUAAUUUGCUCUUGCACGUGUGACGAAUCUUUAAACCAUACACAUGGACAACUAUUUGGGUGACGUAGAGUUCGUGUGGCCUUUGGGCUUCACACGUGGACGUGGGUAACCCGCUUUGAUACCAUGAUAAAGUAGUAUGGGAUUCACAUCUAAAACUAAUUGACAGUGGAUGGAGUGGCCUAAACCCUUAUAAACCCACAGACAAGGUCCAUAUUUUCGAUGUGAGAUUGAUAUCUCAACAGCUAGUCGGGCGGACAGUCGGUGACUAGCGCCUAGGCGGGUUAAUCGGGGGAUUAAUCGGUUUUUUGCCUCUCCAAACGGAAACGGUGAAGCACCGCCUAACGCCUAGGCGGGGAUUUUUAUAACAUAUUAUUGUUUUACUCGCAAGUUAUCUGCUAAUGUAACUUGGGGUUGGUUACUCUUCUUUGUGCACGUAUGCUUCAUAGCCUUGCUUUGACAUCACCGUAACCAUAAGGAUGAUGUAGCUUAUGAGCUAGUUUUCUACUUCAAAUCUGUUAGAGAUUUUCAUAGCUCCCAUACCUCAAUAUGAAAUCACUCUUACAGUCUAAACUUGUGUCCAUCCUACAAGAGCUAUUUAAAGGGCAAUACCAUUGCACUUCUACGACUUCUUAGUAAUAUUCAAUGCAAUUUCAUUACAGCUGAAAGCUACCAAGCGCAUGCGUGUUGACAAUUGCUUUAUCUUUUCCUUUAAGAUUCAUAUAAAUAGCCAUUCCCUCUUGUUUUGUCUCCCAAUCCAUAUUGCCCUUCCCAACAGAACACAAAACAAAACCCUCAUUCCUUUUGCCUUUCCUUAAUUAAUCUAAACUUUGCUCCUUCCUCACACACUAUAGACACCUGUCACCUUGAUUCCUUCAUACUCCCAAUAGCUCAAGCCACCACCAAGUUAUAGACUAGCUCCUUGGCUCUUAGACAAAAAAUGGGUUGCAGAAUCAGUACUGCUUCUCGCAUUGUUGCCGAGGAUGUUGCGCCAAAGCAAGGAAAAGUUGUGAAGGUUGUGAAGAUGGACGGCAAGGUUUUAGAAUUCAGAGCAUCUAUUCUUGUUAAGGAUGUCUUGUCGAACUUUUCAGGUUCUGCAGGUAUUGGUGUAUCAAAACAAUUAGCUUCAGAGCAUCUCCCUUCGUAUUAUGAGCUGAAGUUGGGGAAGGUCUACUAUAUGGUUCCUCUUUUUGGUUCUGUUACAGAAUAUAACAGAACCACUUCUGUUACAACAAGAAGGAUUAAAAUUGUAAUCACAAAGCAACAGUUUCAUGAGGUUUUGACAAACCAAGUAUCAUUCCAGAAGUUACUUUCAGCUUCAGGGCCGAAAGCUAAACCAUGUAAUAUGGUGGAUCAUUCGACAACUUGGAAGCCUAAGCUUCAGGUCAUCCCUGAAGGAGUUCAGCACUGAAUGUCACAACUAUUUAGAUAUGUAAGAGAGACAUAAGAAGGCACACAAGGUUGGUUAAUGUAUAAUGUAACUUAUGGAAUUGGAUUGUACUCAUCAACUCUGCAAUUAACAUGUUUAAUUUCACCAGCUUAAUAUAUCUCAACUUGUUAGGUAGGUUCUCAGUGAUCAGCAACACAGAGAUCUAUGAUUACCCUAAAUUAUUAGGGACUUUAGGUAGAGUGAAAAUUAAGGUAUCACGCUUUUUGUCUCUUACAAAUUCUCAAAGUACUGUUACUGCAAAUAAAGUAAUACAAUGCAUGCCACAAACACCAAAUUACAUUAGAUGGCAAUUUCGGCUGCAACACAAGUAGGAGAGGAGAGGCUGCUCUAAACCAUGCAUUGUUGGCAACAUCACAAGGGGCGCAAUUCACUUGUGUCCUACAAAUCAUCAUUUUCAAUAUCUUAAGAUGGAUCGCGAGUCAUAAAAAAGGGAGUCUUUCUAAAAGAGCACCAAGCAAUCAAGCUAGAUUCCACAAAACUGCAAUUUUGGAUGGUCGUGUUAUAGCUCAUUUUAUGGACGGACAAGCACAGCAAACUACCUACAAGUUCUAGUCUUGGUAUAGUGUCACAUUGUAUGUAAUAUCAAACACAUAUAGUUUUCCGUUUGAGAGGCUACAGAAAAUAUGCUAGUUUCAAACAUACUCCAGGUAAAGUCGAUCAAAAAGACAAAUCAUUAAGAAAGGUGACAUGAUGCAUAUUACAUUAGAUGGAGCAGUUCACAAUAACACAAGAUAAUAUGUAAGUUCCGAAUGUCGGACUUGGUAGAGUGAACAAUAUCUAUUGAAAUUCCUCUUGAACUCACCAUCUUUCACCAGUACUACUCUGGCCCUUUUUUUGGGGGCAGUGAUCAGGCCAGUGAUCGAUAUCCCAAGGAUGACCACCCUGUUCAGCAAUUUCUGAGCACCCAGAACAAGAAAAAGAAAACAAAAAAAACAAGGUUAAAACAUAGAAAAGUUGAUCCUAAUAACGAAAUGAGAGAAUGAGAAGCAAAUCAAAUCGAAUGAAUGCAUACUUUGAAAAGCUCCCUUAUAAGACUUGGUCAAGCGGUCGUCUUGAGAGAGCGUUAGAUCCUCGCGAGUAAGAUGCAGGCGGUCUAACACAUCAUCUGGUACUUUGUCUCUUAUGGAUUUUGAUAAGUGGUCUAAUGCAUGU
rnacentral:lncRNA from 1 species